rnacentral:lncRNA from 1 species
CUAGCAGUGUCUCUCAGCUUGCCUUCUGAAACCACAGCAAACUACCCUUACGCAUCUCCUCCGCCACCACCUCACUACUACUACAAGUCACCACCUCCUCCUCCUCCGGUGUACUCUCCGCCACCACCCAAGAUACCUUACAAGUACCCGUCUCCUCCCCCACCAGUACACUAUCCUCCACCACCUUACGAGUACAAGUCUCCCCCUCCUCCUCCCCCAGUUUACAAGUACAAGUCUCCUCCACCUCCACCAAAGCACCCCUACAAGUAUAAGUCUCCUCCCCCACCACCUCCAGUUUACAAGUAUAAGUCCCCUCCACCACCACCACCAUCACCACCCAAGCACCCAUACCAGUACAAGUCUCCACCUCCACCACCCCCAGUUUACAAGUACAAGUCCCCUCCACCACCACCACCAUCACCACCCAAGCACCCAUACAAGUACAAGUCUCCUCCACCACCUCCUCCAGUCUACAAAUACAAGUCUCCUCCUCCUCCCCCUAAGGAGCCUUACAAGUAUAAGUCUCCUCCACCACCUCCUCCAGUUUACAAGUACAAGUCUCCUCCUCCUCCUCCUCCAAAGGAGCCAUACAAGUACAAGUCUCCCCCACCACCCCCUCCAGUCUACAAGUACAAGUCUCCUCCACCACCACCACCCCAUUACGUCUAUUCAUCACCCCCUCCUCCUCACCACUACUAAGCAACGGCUUUGACCGUACUGAGGUAAAAAAAAACAAAGUUUCAUUCAACAAGAUAACAUACAUUUUCUUCUGUAGUUUUUUUUUUGCUUAGUACGUAACACCAUUUUUCAAUAAAUGUUUUUUCAUCUCUUCAAGCUGCAUAAUUAAAUCACAAUUUUUUUGCUUGUUUGAUAUUAAUCAGUUUAAUGACAAAAGCUCAAUGUGUUACUGCAGGAGAAGAUAAGAGUGUGAUCAAAAUAAAGGGACAAAAAUGGUUCGAAGAAACAUGCAGAGUGAGAGACAUAAAGCAGAAAGCUGGGAGCCCGGUGUCCACGUUUGAAGAGAAGAGAAGAAUAACGUAGACAAGUAGGAAAAUAGAGGGUUGAUCGUUUCCAUGUUUCACAGUUGUAUUGUUCAGUGGUCCUGCUUUGUUUUUUUUAUUAUUAUAUAAUAAAAAUCGUGUAUGUAUGUAUGUGUUUUGCAACCUUUUGCAAAUGCAUGGGUUGAUCCGUAAUAAUAAUAAUAAUAAAUCCAUUCCUCUCAAAAGAUUCUUUUAUGGUUCGUUGUUUGCCUUUUGAGUGUGAUGGGUUGAAUAGAGCUACCUUUUAAUCCAUAUUUUCUCUGCAUGGCUUUACAUGCAACUGGGGAUAGAAAACGCGUUACAAAAUUAAAAAAUAAAAUAAAAGAAAGGAAGAAAUCAUAGCGGCUUUUGCCUUUUUCUGUCUUCCAAUUAUGGAUUUGGUCAUGCAUGUUACUAUCAACCAAUUAGUUUAUAAUUAUUUCGAAGAAUUCCAUGGUAAAUUUCUUUUGGGUUUUUAUCCGUUACUGUGUCUUUGAAUGAUUAAUUGGCUUGUCAAUUGUUCUUUUUUUAGUGCUUACAGAUGGCAAAAAUUAAAUUAAAUUAAAUAAUGCGAGCUUAGGAAUCAAGAAAUGAGGAUUGACGUUGGAGAGUUUGUCUUUUAUAAUUUGCUUCCUUUUUCUUUGGGACUGAAAUACGCAUUUCUUUGCUCGACCAAUUUCUAUAUAAAAUCAUUAGGCAGGGCUUCGGUAUCCUUGAAAGCCAGAAUAUGCUUACCGACAUAUUAAAUUCCUCGAUAUUCUACCCAGAUCUGUCUUUAAACAAAUUGAGGCUGAAUUUUUUAUUCUUUAAUACACUUUCCAAAUAAAUAAUUAAAUGGGGAAUGAUCACUUGUAGCAUCUGCUUUAAAUUUACUAGAUUCAGCCACUAAAUAUAUAGUAGAUUAAGAGAUAAAAGAAGAUAAAAAAAGAAAGGUAUAAUUAACUCAAAUAUUUAAGACUAUCAAGUGCACUACCAAGUCAGUCCUUUUUACGCAUACUUAUUCAUUUAAAAACUUAAUAUAAUUUUUUUUUUGAAGGGCGACUUAAUUUAAGGGAAAGGAAAAGUUAUUACCUCCAACAUAAUAAAACUUAAAGUUUAAACAAAGCAUGUAUUAUAUGGUUGGAGAAUUUCUUUGAAGUAAAAUGAGAAAAGCAUAAUUGAUUCUGAUUAUCCUAUCAUCAUUUAAAAUAGGAUUUUUUUUCAUUCUACAUUUUAAAUAUUGCAAAAGGGCAUCGCGAAAUUAAACAGCCUAGUCUUUCUGUGUAGUACCAUAUGGCUGAAAGUUGUUGUAGUGGGUGGUUGAGUCUAUGCUCCUGAAGCUGGAAAGGGCACAAUUAGCAGUAUAUAAACACAAAUAACAGAACCUCUCCUUUUUUGGAAGCAAAUCUCAGUUCCCAAUAGAGUUUAAAGUUGCCUUACUUGGCUGGCUUUACCAACUUUGUCUUGACAGCAAAUCCCAUGAUAAGAGCAUCUAAGGUAGGUGUAAGGACUAGCAGCAGCCGCAACAACUCUAUGACUUUAGAGCCUAGUUUGACCAUUUUGUAUACUUCCCUGACCAUGUAAACAUGCAUGUUACACUCCUUUUCAUUACUGACUUUUAUCCAUCAAUAAUUUUCAAUGCACUAAAUUUUAAUAAAUAUAUUUAUUCAACAAUAUCAAAGUACAUUACAGGGACACGUGCAUGGAUUAUUUUUUAUGAGUAAAUUUUUUGUACGAAUCGUAUUAAAAGACUUACUGUAUGAGUUUUGAUGGUUACAUGUAUAAUAUAAAAAAAAACUAUUGAUUCAACUAUAUACGUAACUUUUGAGCCUUUGACCAAUUUGCAUAUUCCAAAAAUCUUACAGCCAUGUGUUUUCUUCUUUCUUUCUUUUUUUUUUUUUAAUUUUUUGAAAAAAAAAUCUCAUAAACGUAUUACACUAAUUAUUCGUUUCAGUAAUUCUUUUCAAGUAAUAAUUUUCAAUGCACUGCUUUUCAAAACAAACUAAUUUUCAAUGCACUAAAUUUUAAUGAAUAUACUUAUUCAACAAUAUCAAAGUCCAUUGCAAGUACACGUGCAUGGAUUAUUUUUUGAGUAAAUUUUUUGUACGAAUCGUAUUAAAAGACUUAUUGUAUGAGUUUCGAUGGUUACAUAUAUAAUAUAAAAAAAACUAUUGGUUCAACUGUACAUGUAACUUUUGAGCCUUUGAUCAAUUUGCAUAUUUCAAAAAAUUUACAACCAUGUGCAUUUUUUUCUUUUUUUUGAUAAGAAAAAAACUUGCAAACGUAAAACAUUAAUUAUUGAUUUGGGUAACUGAUCGUUUCAAGCAAUAAUUUUCAAUGCAUCAAAUUGAGAAAUGCGUUAUCGAUGGAUCCAAGUUUAUUAGAAGUUUACUUGCAAUGAGAUUGAAGUAUGAUCAGACGAAAUGGUUUUUCCCUCUUUUUAAUUUAUAUAAUUUUUGUUGGCUAGCUAAUUAAUUAAAUGAGAAAAUAAAUGGGGAAAUCCAAACAUGCUAAGCAGUGGCAUCAAUCAAUCAAGGUAUUAUAAUUAAUAUAUUUCCUCGAACCAAUUUUGGUCUUGAAUAGGAGAAAAAAACUUGUGGAAAAAAAUGGGAGUGGCUUAUAAUAUAUGAUGGGAUGAGCGAAAGAGGGCAGUUUGGUAAAAAGCAAAGGGAGGGGAAGAAGUGCAUGAUUUGGGAAGCCAUAAGACUAUUAGGAACACAUAUAUAAUUCGAUACUGUGGGAUCCACAUGAUUAAUAAAGUUUGGAAUCUUAAUCAAUGGUGGGGGGCCAUCGAAUAAAACAUUUUAUCGUGUAAAAUCAUGUGGGAAGUUUGAAGAGUCGAUGACAAGGAAAUAAAAUAUUAUUCACCUACUCAUAUAUGAAUAUAAAUAUAUAUAUAUAUAAUUUUUUCAAAAUAUAAAUAGAAUUAUCUUAUUUGUUAAUUUGUUACAGACAAAUGAUGUUGAUAGAGACACUAAGAUGAAUUAAGUUAAAUAGAUAUGAUUACAUGAUAUGAAGGCAAUGAAGUAUUAUUAGUUUCAAUUUUUCUCCCGUUUCUAUUAUUUUCCUUAUAAAUCCACUGUUAAAACACCCUGCCUUCAAGUUAUUGAAAGUUUUCACCUUUAACCCAGUCUAAGAUUUUUAACUAAUUUGACUAAAAUUGUAAUUUCCUAAAAGUACAUUAAAAAUCUAAGAUUAUUUAAUGGGGGUAAAAGGUAACUUUUUGAAAAUUAUAAUUAGUCAAAUAAUCAUUUAGCAGCCAAAACUUGACCAAUCAUGUUGCAUUGGGGUUAGGAUCGAUCUUGGGUAAUAAUAUUAACUCAUAUCGAUAAAUCAUAUGUCUUAGGUCCAAUUAAAAAAGAAGUUAAUAUAUAUAGAUUUCUAGAUCCCUGUAAAGAAUUUAAAAUUCUAGAGAGUACACAAAUUACAGGUGUUGCUGCUUGACUUUAUGCAUGUGGCAGGCGUAUUCUUGUAGUGAAGCUGUUUGCUGGGUUAAGGGAGCGGGAUUUUUUCUUUGCAAGAUUUAGAAAAUCCUAGUUGUAUGUGUUAGAUUUAAUUAAUUAGCUGAAUUUGGAAUAAUUGAUAAAACAGUUAACAUAUUAUAAAUAACAAUGUUAAUAAUUGCUUCCUUUACAUUUAAUAAUACUAUUAAAUUUUUUGCAGAAACUGAAAAAAAGAAUUAUAUAAAGAAGAGGCAAACAUGCUUUAACAUGGACCGUCUCAUUUUCUAGCAGUAUGCAUACAUGUUUAUACGUGCAUAUAAAUUUAUUGUGCAAUAAUAUUGGAAUUCAUUCAAGUUGGGACUAAAUUAUUCAGUUAAACCAAGUAUAGUAAAUCCCUUAAAAAUAUGAAUUGCUUGAGCUUAAAACAUUUAAAGUUAAAUUACCAAUUUCCGUGUGAUUGUAUUUGAAUGAGUGCUACCAAAAUUUAUGUACAUGCAUUGAGACAUUGGACAGGGGAUGCUUCCUGUCAUUAUAGAAUUUAGCAAGAGUAAAGUGUCUCAUUUACCAACUUGCAAGAGAUAUUCUCGAAAGAAACAGUUGACGGAAUAAUAAGGCUGUCCAGUCCCCACCAUGGGAAAAGAAGAAAAAUGGCGCAUGCGUUGGAUUCUUCACCAAUGGAAAAAUAGAUAUAAAAACGAAAAAAGAAGGCCCAAGUAGAGACAAUCAGAUAAAUAUCAUGCCCAACAUGUGAUCAUCAUAAUUGUCAUGGAAAUUAAUUGAUUUUUUUUUUUAAAGGUCCACCAAAAAUUGUUUUUUCUUUUGCCUUUUGCUUCUAAAUUUACAUGCAUAUAUAUUCUGGGUACCACUGUAUAGAUAAAGACAAUUUAAAUUCACCAACUCUACAACCCCCCAUGUAUUUAAAGCAGCCUUAAUUUUAAGUUAUUUCCAAACAAUUUUUCCUUUCAGACUCCCACUAGAUGGUUUUCUUACAUUCACUUCGCUUUUGUUAUAUAUAUAUACAUAUUUAUUCCUUCUUUAAGUUUUAUAAGCAACAAAUAAAAAAAAGUUUAAGGCAAAUAAUUACAACACUUUGCAAACUUUUGAUUAUCAAGCAAAAUUAUAUUUUAUUCCUGUAAGACAGCUGGUCGAUGAUUUUCAGGAGUGAAGAAUAAUGGAGAAGGCCAUUUGCAGGCCGAUUGUACCAGAUCAGGUCAACUUCUUCUGCCGAAUAAUUUCCUCCUAAUUGAUAAGGAUGGUAGAUACAAUUAAUUAAAAAAGAAUUAAAAGGGAGCGAUUAAAUUUUAUAUUUUCUGCACUCCAAUCCAAAAUUUUAAUCUUUUUAAAUGAAAAGAAAAGAGAGCCUACACAUUAUAUGUGUUAAUUUAUGACACUUCUCAAUUUCCUAAAUCAGGUCAAUUGAUGCUAAUGCUUUGAAAUAUGAUCAAAAUAUAUUAAAAUAUAUUACUCUCAAAAUGAAGUUAAUUUAUAAAAAAAUGUCAUGACAGAUGAAUUUAAUUUUCAAAAUCAAUAUUUUUAUUCUAUGUAUAUAUAGAAAAAUAUUCAUUAGAUCUUAACCUUUGGACAUAAUUAAAAAUAACGAAUUUUUUUAUCGAUUUAACUUAAGUUUUAAAUUCUAGAAUGAGUUAAAUUUCAAGAAGGACAUAACAAAUGGUGAGUUGCAAAUGAAUUCAUUGAAUUUUAUGAAAUUUGUUUGUUUCGCAUACUACCUUCAUUUUGAGAUUAAUUAAUAACAAAAAAAACUCACUUAUUGCUAUCAUUUUGUCCUUCUUUUUAACUUUCUUCAUUUAUUUUUUCUUUUCUAACAAAGACUAUACGAAAAGAUUAAAUAUUCUUUGCUUUCUUUCCCUUUUCCCUUUACUUUUUCAUCUUUAUCAAGGAUGGUGUGAACGUCUAAAAGAAGAUGCAUGGUUGGGUCCAAAUUAACGUAGGAGAAAGUUGAAAACCCUCCAGCUGCCUCCAAUAACCACUUUCUCCAAUUAUAUAUGAUUAUAUAUAAAGCUUAAUGCGGAUUACGUGGUUUUCGGAUUUGGUCUAAGGAUUUUCUAUGUAUAUCAUAAUCAUGCUUAAUUAAAUUGUUACAUUACGGCUGAUUAUUUAAUUAAGGCAUGUUUGUGUGCAACCAGACAUUCAACAUGAACAAGAUUGGAGAAUUAGAAUUUUUUUUUCUCUUUUUUAUUCUUACUGUAAUUAACUUUGAGUCGUUAAUGAAUGACAUAUUUCGAUCUAGAUCCAUUUGUACUAGAGAAUUGAGUAUUGACAGGAACACUACUUCUUAGGUCAAAUCUCAAGGUAAUUUUUAAAUUUUUGUUAGGCAUAACUAAACUGUAAUUAAAUUUUAAUUAUAAAGUAGAAAUUAAAAUGAAGACAAAGGUGAGGAGGGAUUAAUCAAUCUGUUUUAUUGUUCCUCUUUUGAUCUGGUAAAUAUAUUUAUACCCUCUUUUUGGUGAGAAGCAGGGAGGGUAACGCAAACACCAUGAAAUUAAAUCGACCAUUUUUUAUUGUUACACUGAUUGAAAGGCUAAUUAACAUUAUGCAUUACAGGAUGAAUAAUUAAUUUCCAACCUAUUAAUUAUUUGAGUGUAAUUUCUUGAGCUAGCUGGGUAGCGCUGUUGCCUUGCGCAAAAGAAAAAAAAAGGUAUUACUCGAAUUAAUUAAUCCUUUUUGAAAAUGGAAAAGCCAUUACAUGAUAAUCCAGGUCAUAAAAUAAAUAAAUGAGGAAGAAUUUUCUUCUUUGUCUUUUUCAAAUAUGUAUUUCUCUAAAAACCACUUGAAUUCUGUUCGGUUUUUCCAUUUUUUUCCCUCCUUGCGGAUAUUUAGUAAACUUUAAGUGGUUCGUUUGGAAUCUUUGGAUUAAUUGAUUCUGCCAUUGCACGUGGUUUGUAGUCAUUUUCACUAUAUUGUAAAGCAGACAUGUAGCUAGCUAGAGGGAGACAGUGAAUUUAUAGCUGACUUUAUGUAAAACAAAGCCAACUAGCUAGCUUGUCUAAUUAUAAGUACAACCCAUGUGCAUGAAAAUCGAAAUUAUUUACAAAUAUGUAAACAGAAAAGAGAGAGAGAGAGAGAGUUCACCAAAUUAUAUUGAUAAAUAUUGUUCCAUGUAGACCAUUAAUUAUAGUGAAGCUGCGAUGUCACAUUCCAAUAGAAUUUUAUUCCUCUCUCUAUCAAUUCCAAAAUCAUAUGAAAACAAUUAAUACCCAUCUUCGCUUUAAAUUUAUUAAAUUUAUUUUGUGACAUGCGAGAUCAGGAUUUCAUUUCGUUUUAAAAAUAAAUGGAGAUUUAUGUGUGUAUGAAAAUUGCCCACUUGCCCCUCCAUUGGUCCCAAACUGAAAUACUAUAAUUCUCAAUAUCUAUAACAUGUACUAUAAGCGACCAGACAGUAGGCCACCAUAUUGUUUAUAGUUCAUUGGCCUUUUUCUUUUUGAUUUCUCUUUUGAUAUGUACCACACACAUAUAUAUAUAUAUAUAUAUAUAUAUAUAUAUAUUAAAUUAAAAAAUUAUAAAUUCAACGACGCUCCAACUCCACAUGAUUUUAAGUAGUCUUUUUCUAGAAUCCAAUCAAAUGGUUUUCAUUUUUUUUUUCAUUAGUUGCAUAUAUUUAUUCUUUUUUUAGUUUUAGGGUAUAAAAAAUAAGUUAAGCUAAUAAUUGAUAUACAGUUUGAUUAUUGAUCGUAUAUAUAUUUCUUUAGUGCCUGCAAUUUUGUAGCAUAAGAUCAUGUACCAAAAAAAAAAAAAAAAAGAAACAGACUACUUGUUCCAUAUGAUGUGUUUUUCUUAAAAAAGAAAAAGACAAAGGAAAGUGCAAACAGUACUCAUUUCAUUUAACAAGUCUCGUCACUUGAUAAUUUUACCCAUUUUCCCCCUUUCUUAGUAUUUUCUCUCUAUUCAACCAAAUAUGUACAAAUGUUCAUGGGUGGAAUACAGCUGACACCUAAAAAAUUAAAACCCAAGCCCGAUUCAUAUAUAUAUAUAUAUAUUAAAGCGAUUUUAUUAGCACUAGAAUCCAAUGUUAACUAGAGUCUCCAUGCUUAGUAAAGGUUUCCUUUGAUGUUUAAAUCUUGUCUGUGCUUCCUUUCACUAUACAUUUACACUUUAUACUGCCUCUCAAUAUAAUAGUGGCAGUUUCUCAUCCGUAUGUGGGGCAAAACAUCAAAAAAGAGCUCUGUAUCCAUUUGACCUUACUUCAGUUAUUUUUAUUAUUAAAAUAUUAAAUGUAUUUUUUAAAAUAUUUUUAACCAAAAAUAAAUAAAAACAUCAUAUUUAUUAAUAUUCUAGUAACAUGGGACCAAUCGGACCUGAACCUAAAAAUUGUUGUUCAAAACUUGAGUCUAAAAAGAUGAAUAAGUCCAUUAUUCUAUUUGUUGCAAGCAAGAAGAAGAAAAAGUAAAACUUUGCUUCGGACAUUUGUUCUAAAUGUUAGUCCAUUUCAUGGAAUUACUAAUAUAAUGUAAGGUGAGGGUUUGGUCCAAAAAUAUACCAAUAUUCUUGUUAAUUUAAAACUUUUCACCCUCUCUCUCUCUCUCUCUCUCUCUAUAUAUAUAUUAUAUAUUAUAUAUAUAGUUUANCUCUCUCUCUCUCUCUCUCUAUAUAUAUAUAUAUAUAUAUAUAUAUAUAUAUACAUACAUCAUCGAAUUAAGUAGAAAGAUUUCAAAGCUUCUACUUUAUGAAUUUUCCCUAAUCUAGUUUAUCACUUUGUUUCUCAUUACGUGCACUACUUACCUUGUACCUGUGCUUCUCGCUAGCUCUCCACCAACAUUAAAUCAUGUCACUCACUCGUAAAUCAAAUCAUUAAAUCUGCAUCUCUUUAUGCGGACAAUAUGUGCAAAAUUCCACAUUUCUCUUCUCUUUCCGAAGAGGUGGGGUCUUGUGGCCGGGGGAUAUAUAUAUACAGAAACUUUAGCUUGAGGACUUGUUUACAUCUAGAUUAGCAGUGAAUCUAGACGCGAACACGUCCACAGCCUCCAGCUAAUUUUUAGAAAAUUUUACUAGGCCUAACAAACUUAUUAAUCAGGUUUUGCAAAGUAUCCAUAAACUCCAAAUCAAGUUGAUGCAUGCCCUCCCCUCCUAACCUAUACUUCAAAAUCAACAUUCAGCAGCUUCACCUGCCACUGCAUUUGAUUGGUUUGGAAUUUAGUCACUCUAUCUGUACCUACAUUUUCUAAUUAUAAUGAUUGAUGUUUCAAUUAAAAUAAGUAGUAGUAAGAUCAACGGCUGACUUGUUAGGUAAUGUGCCUACACACAGAUGAAUUUCUGGACCUACCCGAUGAGCAAAGGCAGCUAGACUACAUUUGUUUGCCCAACCAAAUUAUACUAGGAAGAAGAAAGAAAUAUACUAUUGAUAUAUGUCUUUGAGCUAAUUGAAUUGGUUAAGAAAUAUAUAUAUUAUCAUUUAAUGUAUAUUUAAUCGCAUAAUUAUAUGUGAUAGAGGUUUUUCUUCAUAUUAGUGCAAUAAUAAGAAGUUAUUAAGUACUAAUUAGAUAAAACCCAUGGAAUAUAAAGGCCUUGCAAGGGAAUUGUAAAAUUAUUACAAUUAUGAGAUCACUAUGCAUCAAAGUCAUAUUUCUAAAAUUGUUCCUGGUCAUUGUAUUGUCAAGACAAGGCAUUGACAAUACUCAAAGACUAGUACAUGUUAAGCUUCCUUACUUGGGAAGUAAGCAAUCGAUCUCAUAAAUUGAAGUAUAUGGGAUACUUGGGGAUAACAUAUAGGUGCUUGUUAAAGAACAAGUUCACUGAAUAUGACCCGCUAUGAGAACUUUAUUUGGUAUUUUACUCAAGUGUCUAUGAGAAAUAUUCUCAUGUGAUAGUCGUGCAACUAGUUCUUAGACUUGAGACACUAGGUCAUCUUGUAUGGGGAAUGAUAUAUUUUGAUUUCAUCUCUACGGGUUUGGAAGCAACCAGAUGCCUAAACAGGGUGCUUUUGGGUAUGCCAUGAAGCAUGCGAAGGUGAAUAAGUGGUCAAGAGAGAAUUCAUCACCCUAAGUGAUAUGAGGAGAUGUAUCUCACUUGUUCUCAAUUCUUGAUUAACUUGUAUAAAAUUUUUGAUCAAAGCAUGAUGAAUUUGAGGAAAGUUAGUUUUCUAAAUUCAUAAGGUUAGUUAUGAAUUAUGGGAACUAAUAUAGAAUGUUAUAAGUAGACACUGAGCCAUACUUAAUGACAUAUCUAGGAUAUUUGAUGAAAGAACCGUAUUGCACUGAGAAGCUUAUCACUGAAGUGUUUUGUCAAAUUCUUUAAUUGACUUUCUAACAUUUGGGUGGUCAUGAUGUAUUGUUAGAUGCUGCUCAUGGUCUAUAAAUAUAAAUUAAUUAUCAAAUUGAUAUUUUAUUAUUAUUUAUAUUUAUUGCCAACAUAUUAGAAGCCUAAUGGGUCACACACAUUAAGUGACUUGAUUGAGAUUAAAUAAAGAUAAUUAAUUAAGUUGCACUUAAUUGAAAGAGACCAAAAUAAAGUGAUAAAUUAAUUGAGUUUUCAGGGACUUAAUUAAAUUAACAUACAACUGUUGUAUUUAGGGUUACAAAUUAGUUUGGCUAUAUAAAUAUAUUAUAUUAGCAAACUAGAUCAAGAAGCCUCAAAACCACUUCUCAACUAUUUCAUAAAAUAAAAAAAGAAAAAUAAUUUUCUUUAUCUGACAAAAAUAAAAUUCAGCAAGAAUUUUGGUCUUUUGUUUUAGAAACAAUACUUACUAGCACAAGUAAAAUCCUACCUUUGAGAAGAUAUUAUUCAGUCAGUGUGUGGAUUACUGUUAGAAGCCAAAUACUUGGGUGGCUAAAGAUUUGACAAAUCCUAAAGGUGAAGAAGCAAAGAUUUGGAUUUAAUUGACUUUUGAUUACGAUAUCUAGAGCAAAGUAUGUAACUCUUAAACUUAUGAGUGUUCAUUAUUAAUUUAAAAGUUAUAUGAAAAACACAAAUAUUGAUCCUGUAAGAUUCGACUGUUUUUUUGAUUAAAUAUUAUUUUAUUUUUUCGUUGCGUUACUAUUUUAAUUAUUGAUUAUUUUCAUAUUUGAGUAUGAGGUCGAAUCUCAGCAUAUACAUGGUCCAAUCCCUGUUUUGGCAUUGGGAUAUGAAUCUUUUGCUAGAUACUUUAAUAUAUGUUUACCUAAGCCCUAAAUGUACUUAGUUAAUAUAAUCAUGAAGAUAGAUUUGCCCUAAACCUUUAGCUAGUAUUGAGAAUUGUUUCUGGUCAAAACUCAAAAUGUAAAUAGUAAAUACCACUUUUGUGGCAAGUAGUGUUUUGAGGGAAUUGCCAUGUUUCGAGUGUUCCUUUUCAUUAUCUGGUUGGUAGCCCUUACAUGUCUAUCAGUCUGUCUGUCAGUCAUUUUCACCUCGGAAGAUGGGAGUCAACAGCAGACUUCAUAAGAAAGCAAAAGCCAACGAACAAAUUCUAAUAAGGAAUAACAAACCUCAUUUUCUUUAAGUGGUGCAAGUUGGUGGGACAUAAUAUAAUUCAAAUCAUAAUUUUGUUUAUAAAUAUGCAAACCAAAUAACAAAACCCUCCUCACACACAUUUUUAAUCAAGCAUGGAUGUGAUCUCUAGGCCAGGUGUAUCAGUUUUCAAUUUUUAUAUAAUUUAAGAUUUAUUAUAACAUUUUUUUUUGAGAGAGAGAGAUUUUAUAUCUAUAGCUGUUUUCUUCUGUUUUUCUUUUAUUAAUUUCAUUUUAUUGAAUGAGAAACAUGAAAAAGGAGAAGAACUUUAAAAUGGGGAAAAAAAAAUACUUGUAUGAAAACUGCAUUGCGCUUAACCCCUUUUAUUGGUUCGAGACUUAAAAUAUAUAUAUGAAAUUAUGAAUAUAAAUAAUGCAUUUAUAAAAGGCAGAAAGGGACUGUGAUUGACUUCUAAUUUGGAGACGUGUUAGUCUUUUUUCCCCUAAUUUUAUAUAAUUCAUUGUUCAAUAAGAGAGGACUUGGAUUGAACCGGAUGCUUAAUUGUAUGCAAUUUUCUAUACUUUGUUGAAGUAGUUUCUAUGCAAAUUUGGACGAGAAAAUAAGAAAACCAUGGCCCAAAGAUGACAUGGAAAUGGUCCACUUGGCCUAAAAUUUUCUCAAAGUCAAACGAUUCUGAGUAUUGAUUGGAUUAUUAUUAUUUUUUAUUUUCAUUAAAUAAAAUAUAGUAUUAGUUAAUAAUGAAAAAUACUUAAAGUUAAGAGUUUCACUUAACAGUAAAUAUACGUAUCCUCGUAGAAGAGUUGUCGGAUUGGAAUCUAUCAAUCUAAUACUGUGAAAAAAUUAAUUAAUAACAACUUGUACUUCUUACUUCUUUUAUUACAUAAUAAUAAUAAUAAUGAAAUUUAAAGUUACCAUCAAAUUGGCUCUAAAUUAAGCUGUGCUUACUUUCCAAUACACGCUCCGCGUCAAAUUGCAGGACUCCAUGAGAUUCUUCAGCUAUUUAUCAAACUUAGUUAGGCAUGCCCCAACCUAUCAAGCUCAAGCACUCUCCUUAAUGCUCUAAUAUUUCUUGGAGAAUCAUUUCAUCAAUUAUUUUAACAAAAUUGUCACAUGCUAAUAAUUUUAUUCAUGACCACUCAAGUGUGACAAUUUAUAAUAGUUGUGACGUUUUCAUUCAAGAUCAGAAAUAACUUAAGUAGGUCGUUUGAGGUAUUAUUAUCCCAAUAAUAGUCCCACCCACUUCUACAAUGAGGGUUCUAAGUUCGAAAGUUUUUUCUCCUUUAAUAAUAAAAAUGAAAAGAAAAAAUCCUAAGAAAAAUGUCUACUGAUUAUUCUGUUAACGUUAUCUAACAAACUUAAUACUUUCAAUGUAGAUAAAUACAGUGUCCUUUUAUUUAUUAAAAAUAUAUCGAUAAUUUUACUAAAAAAAAUCGACGACAUAACUCUUUUUUACAAUUAAAACUUAAUCACGAGAAACUAUUUGUUGAAACCAUAGGCAGGUGGAACGCUGAUAGAAGGUGAUUCGAUGUGAAUCAAUCCAUGUUAGAAAGUGCAAGCAUUUUUUACAAGAGCACCAUGGUGACUCAGCUAUGUGAAAUGCUUACAUAACAGAUUCAUUUGAGGGUAAAUUAAUUUACAGGAUAAGCCAGUCCCAGUGUUAAAAUGCUGGCGGCCGCUUGUCUCGGAAGAGUUUGCUGCUGUUUUUACGGUUUCUUCUGCUCCGUAAGUUGUUUAAGCAUUUUUCUCCUCCCCUUCUUUCGAGCCAACUCGUAUUAAAAUCCAACACCUGUGUCUUAUCUUGGAAAUUCGGUAUCAUAUUACUUGGAAGCAUUUUCUUUUUACACCAUCUUCAAGCAAGAGACUUAACACCGUCAUUCGAAGAAAAAAUAGACAAACAAAACAAAAUUACAAAUGAGCAUUUUCUUUGUGCCUUUCGUAUAGUAUAGUAUAGCAUAGCCUUAGUGAAAUUCACUUUCCCUCAAAUUAUAAAAUAUAAGACCUCUAUAACUAUCCGACGAAAAGAAAUCUUCAAAUGUGUCAAUCAGGUUACGUAGAUACCAAAAUCUUCAGUUGCCAUUCACUGCUUCCGUUGUUUCCUGUGACACUCUUUAGUUAGAUGCAAAGAAAUGGUGCUUCUAAAGGAAGGCUUAUCUGAUUGUCAAAAUUCUACCUUAACUUCUUCAAAAAGUGUCUCAAACUCAGCUGUUAUCUCAGAGAAGGAAGGUCGCUUGUCUGGAGCCGCUUCCCAGCAUCUCUGCAUCAAGUCUAAGAGUUUUGGAUGUGCAGCCUCAGGAAGAUCUGGACGCAAGCCCUGAUAAAAAAUAAUAAGACCAAAAAAAAAACACAAGACAUCAAUAUUAGAAGAAGAGCUUUUGCCCCAGGUUAACAGUCCUACUACAUGGUGGCCGUGUACACUCCUGGACAAGAACAUGCUUGUAGUGAAAUCAAAAUUCCAAGGCCCUUUUCAUUGUUUUGUGAUGUAGGUUUCUUUCUUUUUGGCAGAACCCCAUGACUUUAGCGUUCUAAUAGCAGACACCUAAACUGUAGAUAAUGUACAGGGAAUUGACGUUAUCCUUCACUGCAGAUGUGCUUAAAGCAUCAAUACUUUGGAGGUUUCUUUCAUAACAUCAACAGAUUCAAUGCCUUCUUAUACAGGUGACAGCUCUUAUAAAUCUUUCCAUUUAUAGUUGAUGUACCCAAAAAAUUGGAACAGUUCAAUAGAUUGGUAGUGUUCAUUUCCAAGUCACAGCAUACUGACCCUUCAGAAGGCAUAGACAUUUCAGACCAGAUUUCAUGCAGCAACAUGUAAACUAAGAAUUUUUAUUGCAAAAGCAAUCAAGUAUAUACAUUCCAAGUGCACUUAUUCACUAAUAACCAUAAGGAAGCUGCUUUAAUCAUGCUUGAAAUUGAAUGAAAAAAUCAACAAACAUUAGAAUACAAUUGCUUCCAUGCAAUGAAUGAUGCAGUAAUAACAUAUACUAGAGAAACAAAUCCAAAAUUCAAUAAUAGAUCUCGGAUACUGAGAAACUCUUCAGUCUUAUACUAAACAAUGAUAUAGUUUAAAUAAUAUUUAACUCCAUCAAUAAAACUGCAAACCUGUCUCACUCCCAAGGCAGCUUGCAAUGGAGUCAUGGUAGCAUAUGGAACCUGCAUACCACGAUAAAAUACUUUUCAGAAGUAUAACUUCCAAAUCUUUAAAAUCCAAUUGCUCAUCAACUUUCUUCAAUUUCAGGAAAUACCUUGGCUGUCACUAGCUCCCACAGUACAACAGCAAAACUGAAUACAUCUGCUUUCUGAUCAUAUGGCUGAUGGUUUAUGACCUUGUCAGAGAGAAAUAAAGUAAGAAGAUGAUAAAAUACCAACAUAAGAAGUACAUACGAUGAAGGUUAAUGUACACAGCGUGUAAGCCAAAACUAUAACACAUAACCAGGGGCAUAAAUAGAACUUGAAUCAUUAAAUCUGCAGCUCCUUUCAUUUUUAGCGGAAAACACAUGGAAGGAACAAAUUAUCCAAAUAUUAGAACAUUAAUAAAAGACCAGCAGAUAGAGGUAAUUUCCACCAAUAGUUACAUUUGUUAUCAGAAUCAUCAAAUGUUUACCACGUUUUGAAAUAAUUAAAGGAUGCAACCACAGGCCCUCAGUCUCCUCAGCGGGAAAAAAGAAAAACAAACAUUAGAGAUACACACCUCAGGUGCCAUCCAUCUAUAUGUCCCAGUCUCAGCUGUCAUUACUCCUCCUUGGUUCUGGAACCGAGCGACACCAAAAUCUGCCACCUUAACAACCUUGAGAGAAAACAUAAAGUUCUUAAAUUCAGAAAACAAAAAAUGUCACAAAAAGCUCCCUUUAAACUGUGAAAUAAUCAAUUAACACGUGCCAAUACAGACUACAACCAGCUAUUUUAGCUGUCUACCCUAUUAAAAUUAAAAAAAAAUCAUUCUAGGAGACAAAUAUAGCAUGAGAGAUGGAUCAAGUCACUAAAAGCAUAACAAGGACUUGUGCUAAUUUAGUAACAAACAUAGUCAACAGAAAAUGUAUCACUGGCCAUUGGAUUUGUAGGAAGGAUCAGCUCACAUAUAGGAGUCAAUCCAGAUACACAAUGCUAAAACACUUGUUAGUCUCUUCUCUUCUUUUGUGACUGAGAUCCUUGCUUCAUGGUUUAGCUAGUUUAUUGCUUAUUCACCCUGGCUUUAAUGCUCUUACCGAAGCGAGCUUCAUAUACAGGACCCCUUACUCAGGGUAUUGAAGUAAAUUUUUAUUACAAGCUGAAACCCAACAAAUUUUAUAACCUUCCAAACUCUCCAUCAGCAUUAAAAUUCUUAGAAACUUAACCACCAAAAUGAGAGAUGAAUGGAAAAAUCAACAUUACUUGCUCGAUUCAUAACAACUUGCAUAUUAGGUCUACUAAUGUAACUUUUACUAAUCAAAAUUCCACAUCCUACCCCAAAUUAACUCCUAUUCGCAGAAACAUUACAACUCCAAAAGCAGGAGGUUUUCUUGAGACAGAUUUACAAAAUCAAAGUUCAAAUUAUAAUACAUAAAGCAGCAUAUGCCAAAUACAACUAAAUGAAACCAGUGAAGCCACCCUACAACUUGCUACUUAUGAUGAGUCUAAAUAGCCACAAUGUCCUACAAUUAAACAUGAAAGGCUAGCCACUCCCCGAACCCCUCACAUGCACUUGGUUUGCCAACUAAACAAUUCUCAAAAGACAAUAAUUUAUGAUCUAGAUCAUGGCGUAUACUUUAAUAGUUCAAAACCUGAAUGGCAUAUGUCACUACUCCCCUGACAUUUUUUUUUUGAUGAUCCAAAUGCUGAUUAGGGUGCAAUCAGUUAGAACCGCAAAAGGAAGUCACUACCAGCGUAAGAUACCAUUAGAAAUAAAGUGAUUCUUACUCAAUAAAGCCACUUUCAGGUCAACCUAUCCUUUAAAAGCUUUUAAAAAAAAAGUGUCACGAAAAUACACAUGAAUCAUCCAGAGAGAGAUAGAGAGGAGAUUGCAGAUACUUAGAACCAAUAUGAAACAUACCUCAGUUGCAUAGACAAUAUUAACGUGAUGAAAAAUUAUUUAGUGCUAUGUUACCACAGACACUUGAACUAAUCUCCUAAAUAGAGGAACACAACGCAAUAGAAUUCAUGUCCAUAAAUAUCUGAUUAAGGGUUAAAAAUAAUUCAUGACAUAACUCUAAUCUGCUCUCUAUAGAGAUAAGCAUAAGGAUUUUCACUAGCAUUCUAUUCACUAACCCAAUGCAUGCAAAUUCAUAUAAUUAGUUUACUAUCCUUCAUGGAAGUUUUACCCUUGUUAAGAACUUUUACAAGGGAAAACCCAACUCUUCCAGAUGUCAUGGUUCUGGUUUACAACUUAAUCUUCUGUCAUGUUGCCCAACACCUAGAACAAUUUAAUUAUUAGAAAAUCAGAUAAACUAAUCCCUUGAGCAUGCUUAUAUCGACGAUAUCAAAAAAAAAUUCUUACAUUGUCUGUAUCCAUUAGCAAAUUUGCUGUCUUCAGGUCCCGAUGGAUUAUGUGGUUUUGAUGCAAAUACUCCAUCCCUUUGCAGACAUCAAUAGCAAAUUUCAGCAGCUGAGAGAGCUUCAAGACAUUAUGAUUCUUAUGCAAAUAAUCAUAUAGGCUUCCCCCAGGCAUAUAUUCUGCAAACAGCAAUAUGUGCUAGAAAAUGAGAAUCUAGAUAUAUAUUUGAAAUUAAACAGACUCUAACAGCUGCAACAACAAGUGUACAAGUGAUAAGAGGGUUCAAGGGAGGGGAUGGGGGAUUGGAAGCUCUCAAUUACUAUCAACUACAAUAAUUCUUUUAGUUGCUCCAAUUUAAGUUGACACUUAAAAGAUGUUCACCAACCCCAAAAGGAAAAUAAAAGAACAGAAGGCCAGCUAAUAAGAUUUACUAAUAAAAAAAAUUAUGAUAACGUAAAACUUUGCUCAACUGAUGACCGCUGAACAAAGAUCUCCAGAAGACUUGGUUAUCUUAGCAUGGAACUAACACCACCAAGCGUAUGACUCUUCCUUCCAACUGAAUACUCCACAGCUAGUACUUGGAGAAAACUUAUACAAUAAAGCUCCAAAAGAACCUUGAUAUUUUAAUCAAAUUAAUUCUACCAUGACCUAGCAGCAAUUAAUUGAAUCUGCAUAUGUCCGACAGAAUUAUUUAAGUCCAGAAGUUUAAAACACCAAUACCUGCAACAAACUUUUUUACACCCAUUGGAUUUCUUUUCAGAAUUUUUCUUUUGUUUCUUUUUUGGUGGGGAAGGGGGAUGUUGACAUACAACAAAAUUGCUGGAACCCGAGAUGACAGAUUGAUAGUGGUGAAGAGAACCACAAAAGAAGCCUAAUUUAAUUCAAAGAGGCUAUUUCAAUUCCUCAAAAGUUUCAUACCUGUCACUAUGCACAAAUUUGGAGAUUUUGUACAGGCACCAAUAAAACGAACAACAUUUUUAUGCUGGACCUCUCUGCACUCAAGAACCCAGAAAUAAGAUUAUAUCCAUAUGGUAAUGGUCCUACAUAAAUACAAUUGCACUGGAAAACAUCAAAUAUAUACUAUAUCAGAAAUUAGGCAAUAGAUUAUUAAUCUAAGAAAAAAGGCAAGGAAAAUACUUAUAUUCACAUAUAAUUUAAACCCUUUUAUUUGCUUGUAAAACAAGUUUAUCCUCAAUAAAACUAAAAUUAAAUUUAACUUAACAGAGAAAGCUACCAAUUCUCGAGGGAGAAAGAGAGAUAGAGAAAUGCAUACAUAGAAAUGCUAUUUGCUGACAUACUCCCAAGGGGGAAGAGAUAGCAUUAUAAAUCCUUUUAUUAGUUAGUAAAGUAAGUUUAUGCUUGCCAAGUAUAAUGAUUGCUCCAAGGUAGAAUCUAGGCAAAGACAAAGCUACUUCUACGACUAGACAACCUAUGAAGCACGGACAAGGCUCUACCCUCCUAGUAUUUGUGUUGUAUUCAUGUAGUAUCCAUGUCCAAUACAGAUACACCAAACAAUUAAAAGAAAUUUAUUAUUUCAGACACAGCAUGGAUAUGGCAUGGACACCACUGGAUAUGGCAGUGAAGCCACAAAAAUUAAAAGAGAGAGAGAAGAAAAGAGAGAGAAGUAUCCAACAAUUCAACCUUCCUUACUUUGGGCUCAAGCACUGGUAGAGCCAAGGGGGUGGCAGGUGGUGGCAACCACCACCUCUCAAUUUUUAAUUUUUUUAAUUAUUAUAUGUAUAAAACUUGAUACAUAUAGUAUAAUUACCCUUAUAAUUACCCUUUAGCCACCUCUCAUGCAACAUCAUAGAUUCACCACUGUCAAGUGCUAUUGUUCUAUGUGGGUGAGACUCAGAUUAGAGGUGAAAAGUUGGUUAAAAGAUUAUCUGAUAGAUAGAGUGGAAGGAGAUGCAGCAGAUGCUGGACAGCCUACUGUACUGGAGAAGAUGGAGAAAAAAAAGUUAAUAUAGUUAAGGCUGAAAUAAAAUUGGGCUGGCUCAAAUGGGCUUUUGGGUGGAAGGUUUCAAAGCUUAUUGGGUUACACUUUUGAGUCUAUAACACAAUAGGUCUAGAUGAAUUUAAAGUAUAUCCAACACAAUUAAUUAUUUUAUGUGCAUGAUAAUAAAAUUAUUUUAAAAAUUUGUGAUAAAAAAUUGUGAUAUAAUUAAGAUUUUUAUAUUUUGAGAAAUUUUAAUGCAUAUUGUUCUUAUUUAUAUUAAAGUAAUAAAAAAAUUCAUUUUAAAACAUUUUCUAAUAAAUAAUUAAUUAAAUUAUACACAUAUAUCAAAUACAGAUUAAAUUUAUAUUUUAUUGCUAUAUCCUGCCUCAUCAUGUCCUAAUUUUUCAAAAAUUGUUGUGUUGCUGCAUCCAUAUCGUGUCAUACCCAUGUCCCGUGUUUGUGUCGGUGCUUCCUAGUUGACAACAGAGUCUCAACAACUUUGUUUCACUCCUACUUUAGCUUAUUUGGAUUAAACGGGUUGUCCGACAAAAGAGGCAAAAAACUCUUUAGGAGAGUGAACCUGCAUGAGACAACUUUCAACAUGGAAACACAAGUGUUCAAAUAUUCAACUAUUCUUUCCUUCCAUUACCAUUUUCUUUUGGGUGGGUGGGGGUGUAGAAGGCAAGGGGCAGACAGGUUAUUUAACAGAAUAUAAAGGGAUCCAACAGCACAACAAUUAAAGAUGGUUGCAAAGAACAAUGCGAACCCAGAACUGAACUCCAAAGUAACAGUUAAAAGCUUCUCACCGGAGAAUUGCCACUUCUUGAGCAAACUCAUCUUCCAGAGCAUCAUUCAAAUGCUCAGAUCUAAGAAUCUUGACAGCAACAUCUUGGCCAAGGUAGAUGCCACGAUACCUUCAGAUGAAACAUCAGACGAAGCUUGAGCAACAAAAAGGAAAAUAAAGAAUAGAGUAGAUCAGAAGUAUCAAGUUCAUAGAAGUACAACUCACAGAUCUCCACAAGAUCCAGAUGCAAUUCUUUCUCCUAUCUUCAAAAGUCUUCUAUCUAUCUCCCAAUCUCCAGAUUUUUCUUGUGCUGCAGAUGCAUCAUCUACAGCUGACUGAGAAUGCAAAGAUCCAGACAGUGACCCCUAUAUGUCCAGGAGUCAUAAGCUAAAAUAUAUUUUUGGUAUUCAUAAUUUACUUAAAGAAGGCAAAAUUCAAGCAAAUAAAAGAGUGAAAGCAACAUAAUAUGUGAGAGAGAUCCAUCACAAUCCAACAGGAAGAUAAUAGUAAAGCGCUGAAGAAAAUAAAUCCAUCAAAUACAAAUUAUAGGGGUGAAAAACCAGGGUUACAAUCUGCUCAACUACUCGUGAAGUAUAAGUUUACAUACAGAUCAACUGUCACAUGCACGAAUCUGGCAGUGGCAACAUAAAGAACUUCAUACUACUAGAAAUGUGAAAAACUCUUCAAGUGUACUUGAACCACUUGAACUUCAAAACAAAACCAGACAGUACUGGCCCUUUAAAACAUUUUAAUGUCAACAGUAGUUUACUAGCUUUAUAAUGUCCAACUACAUUGUAAAAACUACAAUCCUGAAACAUUAAAAACCAUUCUUCCUUUGGAUUUGAUAUAAGUUUCAGACACUUGCAAUCAAGCUAGAAAAUAAAGCAAAGGCCAUAAAUAGAAUUCACAUGGACACAGUUUACCUUGCUUCUAGCGACUGCUUUUUCCAUAGCUUUAUAUAAACCAUCUGUAUCCUGGCCACAACAUUGCAAAGUCAGCAACAUUUGGACUCAGCAGAGAUCCCUGUCAUAAAAGAAAUAUAAUCACAAUGCUCCUUAAUAUAUUAAGGCUACUCUCCCAGGAUAAACUGUAUGUUGCUUAAUUUAACCAACUAAAUAAAUUCAAUAUAUACCAAGCACCAACCAAUUUUUUUUUUAUUUUUAUUUUAUGGUCAAUUGUCAAAGCAGUAUUAGAACAAAAAGAAAAUAAAAAGAAAAUAAACAGCUGCUUUUGCAAGGCAUGAACAAAAAUGACAUCAGCACAGAGCCUUAGUAUAAAGCAUGAAUUGAUAGCCAUUCAUUUCCAUUCUCAGCAUAGUGGGGGGAUUCUGAAGUUCUUUUUCCAUGAAUUAGAUCUGAAGAAAUGUAAAACAUGGAUUAACAGAAAAAGCAAAUGUUCCAGCAUCAAAGCAAGAGUUUUUAUUGCUUAAAACAAAUCAUGAAAAAAAAGAAUAAAACUACCAUUAAGGAAACUGCACGCACAACAAUAGCAGAAGAUACAUUAUGUUCUGUAAAGUAAGAUCCAUUAUUAGCUACACAUUCUAUGGCUCACCAAACCAUAUGAAGAUACAAAGACCUAAUAACAACAGAACAUCUAAUCGAAAAAUGGCUACCUCAACAGGCCAUCCAUCAACCACAAACACAUCCAAAGAGUAGCCAUCAGUUGUUGAGAACACAUGUGCUUCACGAAUGUUAAGUCCUAUAUCUGAAAGCAAUGCCGAAAGCUAGAAGAAAUGACAGCUGGUCAGUUUUUCAGAUUUGACUAGGUUAACAAGAUAAAUAUUAUCCAAAAAAAAAGGUUAACCAGAUAAAUGAUGAUGUUGAAAGCCCCACAAGCUGCUUAAAUAGAAGUCAAAAUUAGUUCUGUAUCUCUUUAUUACAAUAAUAUUCUUAGCAGAGAGUAGAGAAAGGUGCGGGAUAUUUAUUAGUGUUCACAAACCAAAAUGGAUAAUCUCUACAGAUCUCAAGUCUUUCUAAUGCAUUUUGCAUGCUCCAAGGGUUCAACAUAAGCAAGUGGCCAUGUUUUUCUUUCAAAAGUUCAAAGGAAAUAAAAGAUAUGUUGGCAGGAAUCUGAAGGAUACUAGUUAAUAGCAAUUAAAUUAAGAUUGUAACAGAUGACGUAGGAAUUGAACCUUAUUGCAAGCUUAUAAAAUCUUUCACAAAUUUUAGCAUUGUUCUUAAAAAAGGAAUGAUUGGGAUCCUUUUUUGAAGGAGAGUUUAAACACCAUAAACAUUUUUUGAUAAGCAUCAUAAAGUUAAUGACAAAAAAGUAUAAACUGCAUCUAUUAGCCGCUACCAAGAAAGCAGUUUGAGCAAGACGUCAUUAUGACAAGCCAUCAGAUGAUGACAACAAGGUUUCAGAAGCCCAUCCAGACUAUAAAAAUUUCCAAUAGCAUAAUAACAUUAAAAUAGGAUAACAAACUGAAAAAAUUCCAUUAAUAAAUUGAACGCACAAAAUAAAAAACUAGUGAAUAACUAUGCAUCCUAAGCUGCUUUUUCAGAUCUCAAAGAAAGCCAAGGAUCAAAUUCGAGCUGAGCUUUGAAUAUUUUUUAGCAUGGCUGGCCUUACAUCAACUGAAACUCAAUGGAAAGAAGUUGAAUACAAUAGAGAUUAAACCAAAGGAUCACAUUCAAGCUCAGCUUUGAAUUUUUUUAUCAUCCUGUUGAAAAGUUAACAAUGUAACCCUACGAUAGUAGAUAGAAACCACAGGGCAUUCAGUGCUGAGAGACAAAUACAGGGUGUUAAUAGAAAAAAGUCAACCACAACGAUUAUAAAUGUAAAUUUAACCUAAAACCAAAGUAACGCUCUGCAUGACAAUAAGACACAUGUUGUCAAACAUACCUGACUAAGCAGCUUUGGCCUGUCAGUGGUAGAAAAUAUAACUUCAUGAAUUGGAAUAUGUACAAUAUCUUGCCUGCAAAACAUUUACCAAAAGACAACUCACUUAACAUAUGUACAUACAACAAAUCCAUGACUGAUAUAUCAAAGCUGUAUUCAUCAGCCUCAUUCUAGUGUGCAUGCAUUCUGCAUGGUCAUGUAUGUAUAGUACUAAAUAUGUGCAUAUACAUAUAGAUAAAUUGUUGUGCACAGUUGCUGCUUCAAUUGUCAAUGCAGGUGAGGGAAGAGAGAAAGUGAAUAAGAAGAUGACCAUCUCCAUAUAAAACAAAAUGCUUUCAAAUGAACCUCUUGUCAAGUAACAAUGGAUUAGACAAUCUUAAAAUCAUUUCAAUAGUCAGAAAAACAUAACUGAAUAGAUACUUAUGAUCUGCAGAGUAUUGUUAUGAUACCAGUAACACAGAACUCCGUUCAGUAUAAACAUGAAUGAGAAGGGAAAGCCAAAGCCAUAGAGAUCUUGGAUACAUGUAUUGACCCAUGUGGGAGGAAAAGAAAACAAAAUCAGUUUCAUAGUUGCAGGUACAGAUUGAAUGGUUGACGCACAAAAAAUUAGCCUAUUAAUACCGGUGAUGUUUCAAUUUAACCAUUUCAUUUUGUUUUGAAGUAAUUCCCCAGAAGGAAGACCCAAAUACACACACACACAGCGUGCACCCCAACCCCCAUCCGCAACAAACAAAAAUACACAGAGGUUCUCAAUCCUAAAUGUAGGAAAAUCUCUACGUGUAGCCAAGCUAACAAAUAGGAAAAAAAAUUAUAACUGAAGUUUCAAAGAAAGGAAAAAGAUGUCUAACAAAUCUUCAACAAGGUACCUUUUGGAGAAGUUCUCCGUGAGAUAUCUAUCCUCUACACACUUGGAAUUCUUUCUGACAUCCAAAUUUAGGUCCUCGAGCUUAGAGCAAGGUUCAAAGUCAACUGCAUGAUCCCUGCUUCUAUUUACAGAAGGUAAUGGAGCAACAAUUAACAAAAAUAUUAAGAAAACAAAAAAAUGUGAAAAAGUCUUUUCAGAUCAAAUAAUGAAAAGGGAAGAGACACAACUAAGAAGGUAACACAUAUAAUACCUUUUAUGCGAAGGCACAACUUUUUCACUAUCUCCAUCAUCAAAAGGCCUUUGGGCAGAAAAAGAAUUUAUAAAUUGUUGAUCAUCAUUUGCAUCUGCUUUGGUGCAAAGGUUCUACAUGCCAACAUGUAAAAGGGAGAAAACAGGUAGAAUCAGGAAAAGAAGGCAAACAGAUCAUGCAUCAUAUUAGAAGAUAUUAAGAAUAAAUUAGAUGUAAUACCAUUAUUGGUGCAAAAGUAUAACGUGGUUAAGAGCAUGCGGUUCUUAAAGGGUUCAUAAACUGCUUUUUUUUAAAUUAUUUAGAAAUAGUGAUUAGGAUAUGCUAUUCUUGUUUAUUCAUCUAUUUUCACUUUCCAAAAUCUAUAAAACCAGAUAUAUAAUCAGCUUCUUCCUUCCUGACUUUCUGUGAAAAAAAAUGGAACAAAAAAAAUUGGACUACAAAAAGGAUAAGAUAUACUAUAAUGACAUUGGCAGUAGGGCAGAAGAAGGUAUCAAAAGAUGAAAAAAUAAAUUUCAUUAAAAAUUGCACAAAAUAAUUUAAUGAAAUACCAUAAAUAUCAUGGAGUUUUCUGAUCUUGUUUAACCAUAACAAUUCAGAACCUGUUUUUAGAGUACUACUGCUUCAAAGCAUUUUAGAAUUUCAAACAGGUACCCAUCAGCAAAACACACAUUUACACGCAGCCAAAUACAAAGACACAUCAAGAUGCAUGAGUUUGCAUAUCGUUAGAGUUGUAUAAGACAUAUAAGCAGAGACAUAAACCUUUCAGCUAAGCCAUAAAACAGGAACAAACACCAUCAACUUUCCUUACCACAGGCACAAAUUCACAAAAACAAAACCGUUGCUCAUCUUCAUUCACUUCAGCUUAUAUAAAUAUAAAAAAAAUUACAAUUUCCAUAUAUAAUAACAUAAUAACUUAUGUGAUUACUCGCAAUUUUAUCUGAACAAUUUGAAAUUAUUAGGACAUCAAAUCACAUUGAGUUCUUCACAAAAAUCCUUCAAACACAAAUCUAUAAGACACAUGUCUUGAAGGUACAACCCAACUUUGGAAUGACAAAUUGCCCUUAAUUUCCCAUUUUCUUAAUGACAUGAGUACAGUAGGCCCCUUAUGCUUUUCAUGACACAACAUCCAUUCUAUAUAUCAUAACAUAUUUCUCCACUAGUCCUUUAUUAAUUAAUUUUUAUAAAGUAAUGAUAAUUUCACGCCAACAAUGAAACUAUAUGCAUGAUAUAAAUGACAUUAUCAACACUUAUUUUACACUAUAUCCUAAUCCAUGAAAGGAAUAAAGUGAGGAGGUAGUUUACUAAAUAUUACAAAUGUAGUAGUAGUACCAUAGACCCUUUGUGUACAAUUAAAGUUGAAAAAAAAAAAAAGAGCAAAACUUAAAACAUUGAUAUAAAAAUAUGAAAAGUCUUUUCGUUAAUGCUAGGGCCAUGCUAUCUCAAAAUUUAGAGCACAGUAACAGAACUUAUUUGCCAAGUAAAAAUUCUUCAAACACAUAUUUAAAAAAAAAAAAUUCCCUUUCACAAAAAUUUAUUGAAAAAAAUUCUAAUGAUCUCCUUUUCACCUUGGACAUUAGGUUUGUACUUUUUUUUUGUUUGAUAAGUAUUAUUAGCCUUGUACUUAAUGCAACUAAUAUUACUUGCUCUAACAAAACUAUAAAAAGAAAACUAUCUUUUUGACACAUGAAUUUACUAAUAAAUAGUACUAUUUAAUAAUAAUAGUUUCUGGUUAUCUCAUGGAAAUAAGCACAGGGUCAACUGCAAAUGAAAAGAACUGGAUUCACAUUACAUUAAACACUACGCUUUACUUGGUUGGGAGGAUGGAAAGGAGGGAAGAAGGAAAAGGCUUAUAUCCAAUGGUAAUUCCAAAAAAUAGGAAGGUUGUUCUGAAACCUAACCAUUAUAUCAAAACAUUUCCACCCUCCCUAUCAAGCAAAGCUUAAAAGAAUUGUUCUCAAGUUCACCUGUCACCAACAACCACAUGUUCCCAACACUCUGUCUCACAAACCACCAUCUAUUUUAAUUGAUUAUCAAUCAGUAAUGUAUUAACACAACUUUAUCUCUUCUUGUAACAGCUAGUUUUUAGGAAAAAUGACACGCAUAAUUAGUCCAUUUCAAGAUAUUUCAGUUUCUACCACUUUGCUGGAAUUAUAAACCACUAUCUCCAAAAGUCUGAUUUUGAGCCUCUUCACAUUAACUUGACCACAAACAGCAACUACAUAUGAACUAGUAGUCGAAAUAAAAGGCAGAAAUCUCCAUUUUUUUUCCACUUUUUCUAACAGCAACAUCUUGAAUACAACAAAAAGGAAGAAAAUCAAAAGACGUUCCUCUUUUGCUAUGUAAAUAAAAAUAAAGAAGUAGUAGUACCUCUAAGAAGCGGAUAUGAUAAACCGGCCGCUUGUCCGGAUCCUUCGCUGAUGCAAGUAGUUUCUGAUGCAACAAAACAUCUUCCACUCUCUCCAUAUUAACAUCAAGUCCAUAACUGAAUCCAAAAACCAAACAACUUCAUCAGCCUUAACCAAUCCUACAAAUAAAUUACUAAAUUCUUCAUAAAACAAGUAAAAAAAUACGUAUAAAACAGCUACAAAUGUAUAAAUUAUUCAUAUGAGAAAUAAAUUUUACCUAGCAGGCAAGCGAUUGAAGUGAGAAUCUAAAUGGUCACGAAAGUCAGGAUUAGAAAUGGCUUCUUCGUGGCCGGUUUCAACUAAGCGAUUGAAAACGUCGUUUCUGACAUCGUAGCUGUUGAAGCUACCGAAGCUUCUGGGCGGCGACGAGCUCUCUCCGACUCCUUCCGUCAAAUCCAUCCACAAUGAAAUCUAAUACUUUUUCUUCUUCUUCCUCUCCUUUUCUUCUUUCUUUCUAUUUACGCAUCGCAUGAGGGAAAUUGUUGCUGUCUUGGUUGUUGAUCAAAGUGAGGAGGAUCUUUGACUGGUGAUGGAAUCUGAGAAGACAAAAACGGAGGGAGAGAAUGGGGUUUUGAGAGAGUUUGGAGGGUAAAUUUGGGAAUUGAGCAAGUGUCGCAGAGAAGAAACAGGAAACGAAUGUUCAGGUAGGAAGAAAGAAAAGAGCGAGGCUGAGUCUUUUUUUCUCUUUUUCAUUAUUUAAUUAACAGAAUGGAAGAAAGAGAGCUGAAGUGGAUAGGGUUCGGAAAUUUCUUGGAUUAAAAUAUGUUGACUGAAGUUACGGGAAAACCCUUAGAGAGGGCAGAGAAUUACGGUGACAGAGAUUCAACGGAAUCACGAAAACGCCAUUCGGAAGGGGGAAACAAAAACGAUUUUGCUAGGGGCACCCGUCAAGCAGCUUUAAAACAGUAAAACAAAAAUUCGCAUCAGCAUUUUAACCUUUUACCAAAACCGUUCCAACCUUUGUACGUUUUUUGUUUUGCAUCCCUUCCGCUUUCUUACCUAAAAAUAGUUAAAAGUAGAAAAGAGAAAAACUAAAACAGCCUUGGUAUUGAAAAAACACCGGUCUACUUAAGUACAGACGGUACAAACUAUUCAAGCCUUUGUGUAUAUUUCAAACUUAUCUGCUUCUUCUCCGAAUAUUGUUACCGUUACAUGUAAACUGAAUAUGAUAUUUAAAGUGCAUCAAAUUGCUUAAAAAAAUUAAGUUUUUCUCUUUAUUUCUAUUUUAUUUUCUGAAUUAUUUUUUAUACAUGCUUAAUGUAAUUAUUAUUAUUUGUUUAAAUGAAUUUUUGAGUGAUAAAGAGUAUUAAAAAAUAAAAAAAAAAGAAUUUGAUUUGAAUGAAUCUCCAAAAGUAAUUGAAAUCACAACAUUAUCUCAUUAAACUCUAAAGUUUCUUAUAAGAAUGGAAAAAAUGGACAUGUAAAUAAAAAAUCGAUAAAGAUAGAAUUUGAACCUUUGUUGAUCAAUAUUUUCUUAGUGAAGAGGAGGCUUUUGUUUUUUUUUUUAUGUACAAAAUGUUGAAUUAAUAAAAUAAAUAUGAAAAAAUUAAAAAAAAAUUGCCAUUCUUAUGAUAGACCACCACCUUUAAAGGUAAUUAAACUAGUCAAGAAACAUAAAACUGGGAAAUUAGCAAAAUAUGAAUUCAAGGCUCAUCAAAGGAUCUCUUCCAAAUAUUCACUUGAUGUAAUUUUUCCAUUAGAAUGGAAAUUAAAUAAAUUUGUCAGUGGUUGCAAUCAUCCAUUAUUGUUUCCUUCACAAGUUGGUUUUCUUCCUACUAGCUAACUAUCAAUGUCAGAACAUUGUUUAAUUUGUAUUGAUAUUUUAGGUUUAUUCGCCCAAUAAACAAGAAUUAUGCUACUUUUGUCACAUUCAAACUUUAUCCUUUUUGUGUGUAAUUUUGUUGAAUUUUCUGUUUUAAUGGUUUCUAUUGUGCUAGCGUUUUUGGACCAACUUGUGAGCUCUCUUUGAAUGCUUAGUUUUAAUACGAUGCUUACUUAAAUUUUAUAUUUUAUAUAAUUUUAAUGCAAUUUUAUAUAGUAUUCUUUUUUAUUAAGAUAAAUUUCACUUCAUUUUGAAAUGUUCAUUAAUUACUUUAUGCAUUUAAAUCUAGGAAUGGUACAGAUAAAAUAUUCACUAAUUUUGAGGUAGUUGUACUCUAUCAUAUGUUAUUUGGAUUCUUCCCUUCAUCCUAAUUAACAUACUUGUAUUUGAUAUUUUCUGAAUACUUCACUACUCAUAUGACUACAACACUUUGAUCCUCAAAAUAAGCGUAAAUUGUCAAAAAAUAUAUCAUAUCCACGUUCAACGCCAUGCCUGCAGUUCAAAGAACAUGGUCUGUAAUAUAAGAAUAUAAUGCACAUAUGCUUGCCCUUGGAUUUGAUUAGCAAUACUUAUUAUAACUCGAAAUUGAUUAUUUAGUUAGAAGUGACAUGGGGAUAGGCUACAAAAACCUAGCUCAGACCUGAACUCAAUAAUGAAAAGUAUGAUUAAAUAAUUUUCCAUAUAUUAUUAAUCAAAAUUAAAUCAAUAAAUUCAAUGUAAAAUUUAUAUUUAGAUAUUUCAUAAUUUUAAUAAAUAAUUUAUCAAUUAUAAGUAAUAUACAAACUGAAAUGUAAUAAAAAAUUAAAAAUAUACAUAAAAAAAAUUUGAUUAACGAAUAACUUAGGGCCGCUAUCCGAAUUAGUUUUAAUAGAAUUAUAGUACUCCUACAUAAGCAAGUCGGUUAUUGUUGGAUACCUAUUUAUAAGCCAUUGCCAUUUCUUUUUUGAAAGCUCAUUGCCAUUUCUAUUUAAAUCUUGGCAUAUAUAUAUUUGUUUUAAUGAAAACAUGUCUCAAUAUUUGUAGUAAAAAAAAAACUAAAAUUUUUGAAUUUUCCUUAAAAGGAAAAUCUAUGGGUAGAUUUUUGAAUAUCGAAGAUUAAGCUCAUUUAAUUAGGUUGCAAACUAUUUAGUAUUAAGCUCCUCAAAUUCUUCUAUUAAUAAUUAAUUUUUUUAAAAUUGUGAUUUACUUAACCCUUAAGUAUAAAGAAAUUAAUUAUAAGUUAAAAUAAUAAUUUAUUUAAUAAAAGAAUACAUAUACGGUUAUGGAGCUUGGAGAAUAGAAAACAUAAUCUCAUAAUGGUAUAUCCAUUUUAUCAAAGUCAUUCAUACCGUGCAUAACCAAGUUAUCUUUUUCGUGAACAAAAGGAAAAGGGUGUGUAAGUCGCGUAAUCCUACAACCCAACUUUGUAAAUUGUUCACAUACUGAAGGAUAUUAUGGAGAAAAAGAAAAAGUUAAAAUGUUGUUAGGAGAAUGAUUAGUUUGGAAGCAAAUUUUCAUUUUACGAAGAAAAGUGAUUAGGAAAGGUAUUUGAGGUCGCUUUAACGGGUGCCCUUAAGGAAACCGUACUGCAUGGACACACGCAAACGCGUUUUUGGUUAGCGGGGAGGGAGCGUGCUAAUGGGGCAGGCGUGACAGAGUUCGGAGAAGUAAGACAAGCUGGUAGAAUUCAUUUUGGGUUAUCCUCUCGGGUUUCAGACACGUGCUGGACAUUUAUGUGGGUGGGAUCCAUUUUGGACAUUCCCUGGCAGUAACGGGAGUGUAAAUUCCAUGUUGGUUAGAAUUAGACAAAUUAAAUUAAAUAGGAGGUGAGGCAAGGGACACAAUGGUUAACAUUUCUUGCGUACAAAAUCUUUUAUUGUUAGUUGUGAUAUGUAGAGGGAAAAAAAUAAGACAGCUCUUUGUACGAGAGAAAUAAAAGUAUAUUUUUUAUAAUAUAUUUAAUUAAAUUAUAUUAUAAUUUUAUUUUACAAUAAAUCAUUAUAAUGUAAGAUUGUAAUUUAAUUACAUUAUAACUAAAAGAUGUAAUGUGAUUGCAGUUCAAAAUUAAUACAAUCAUAUUAUAUUAUACUCUGUAAUAUUAUUAAAGACAUUUUUACUUUUCAACUUCAUUACUUUGUUAAAAAUAUUUAAUAAUAUUAUAAUUAAAAUAAUAUAUAUAAUAUAAAAAUUAAAAAAUAAAAUAAAAUAUAAAAAAUUAAAAUUUAUACAAUAUAAGUAAAAGAAAUAAAAAUAAAAUAUAUAAUAUAAAAANAGAUAAAGAAAUAAAAAUAAAAAUAAUUAAUAUAAAAAUUAUAUUAAAAAAUAAAAAUAAAUAUAAUAUUAUAAUAAAAAAUAAAAAUAAAAUAUAUGACAUUAAAAAUAUAUUUAAGAGAUGAUAUUAUAUAAAAAUUAACAAUAAAAAUAAAAGUAUAUUAAACUUGUAUUUUAAUAAAUAGGAGUAAUUUUAAAAAUUAACAUUACAUUCCCAACAAAGCACUUGUAAACAAAACGUUGUAAUGUUAUCUUCCCUACAUUUUAAUCAUUAUUUUAUUUGUAUAUUAUAUCAAAUAUUGUAAUAUUAUUUUUCCUAUAAUAACAUUGCUUGCAAUCACAUUAUUUGCAAUUACAUUAUCUGUAAUCACAUUGUAUUGUAAAGUAUCAAACCACACCUAAAUUCCGAUGCUUUAGUACAUAAAAAAAAAAAACAAAUCAUAUAAUGGUUUUAGAUAUGUACUUUUACAAUUUAUUGAUUGAAUUACUAAACCUCCUUAGAAUUGGGAUUGCAAAUAAAGUAGUUUACUCUGUUAAGACUUACGUACAGGGCUUAUUCAUCACUAUUAUAAAAAAUAAUUUCUAGUCUUUUCCAUGAUGUAAUUUACAUUCAUUUUGAAAUUUUAUUUGAGUAAUUUGACAAUUAGUCAAUAUAAAUAAAGGUAAAGUGAUACCAUGGAAUCCAAAUUUUUCAAAGAAGAAUAAUUAUUUCAUUGUACCCAUCUUUUUGUUGGCAGCUGUGAAUUGAAUUGAAAUGGUUUUCUAUUAACCAACUAGUAGCAUUUAGCCUGUAUAAUACUCUCUCUCUAUAUGUAAAAAAGUAACACUAUGACUCAAGUUGUAUGAAAUUUCCACAAAUGAUCAAAGGAAUAGAUUAAAGCAACAAUCUUUACCCUUUUUAUUUUCUUUCUGUCUUUCCUUUAUUCCUUUUUAGCAGUUGGGUUGCAUGAAAACUAGCUUCUCUUUCUCUAUUUUUCUUAUUAGACAAUGAUUUUUGCCUUCCGAUAACUCAUCCCUCACUUUUGCACCUUCACUUAAACCUUUGAUGGGUAGAGAUGUGAAAGGGAAAGCAAUGAAAUCAGUUCUCUCUUCUUUCUUUCGUUCUUUCUCUUUGCAAUUUGACUAGAUUUUGUUGCAUAAGAUUUUCUCUACUUUCAACUCGACUUUCAUUUGAGAAUUGAAUCCAUGACCUAAGCACCUUAGUUAACCAAUAAUCAGAGAGGAUGGUGCUUAGAACAAUAUAAAAAAACCAAGCUUAUCCAUAUCAGAUGACCUUAGCACCCAUAGUAAAGACAAGAAUUAUAUAAUAUGUUUCUCUUUCUUCAUUAACAUAAAAACAAUGAUGCUAGCUGUUUUGAGCAUUGGCACACAAUUCUUUGCCUCAAUCAUAUUAACCAUAACAUUGACAGAUUAGUAUCUCGUAAGAUGGAAGACAUACUGUACAUCACUCGGUUUCUCCAAAAUGCUUCUUAAUAUGCAAUUACUCUCUCUUUAAAUAAAAGGAAGUUUUAUUUUUAUAUAUUUAUGUUUUGAUUUAGAUAAAAAAAAUUUGAAUCUUGAGAUUCUAAAAAGAAUAAAUUAUACAUCAACUAUCGAAUUAAAUACUUGACUAUUAAACAAAAAGAAACUUAAUUAAUAAUAUAUGAUAAAAAAAGAAAAAAGUAACCAAAGUUAACUCUAUGAUUUUCAUUUUUUAAAUUAACAGUGUUGGCAUUUGGUUUUUGUUAGUGUACCAUUGAGGGUGACUUGUAUUAGAAUGAUAGGAUGCUUUUUCUUUUUUUUGAAAUGAACGAUAAGAUGCUUGGAGUGGCACUAUGAUAAUAGCCUUGAUAAUGUGUGGAUCCGAUUACACUAUACUUAUCAAAUUUUAUAUGAAAGUGGAUUAAUGAUUUAAAAUUUUCAUAUAGCACCAAAUGUCUUUGAUUUCAUAAAAGAAGAGAACAAAAGUGCAAAGGUAAGAAUAGAAGACACUAGAGAUAGGUUUAGUUACUUUAGUGAAUAAAUAUGUAAGGAAGAUGAUUACUAGGUGCAGAUUAAUCUCUUUAUAUUUAUAAUAUACGGUCUUGACAAAAAUUUGGUUUGUAUGUCGUUCUUAUCCUUUGCAAUAUCACUAUGUGUUGAUUUCAUUUUCUUUUAUCAGGAUAGAGAGGAGAAAAAUCUUGUAAGGAUCUCUUAGAUGGCCUAACACCUAGAAUUACUCAUAUAAAUGAUAAUAUAAUAUUUUAAUAAAAAAUAAAAUUUAAUUGGAUACACUUGGAAACGGUUUUAAAUUUUAAAAAUAUCAACCGAACUUAAACUCAAUCCAUUGACAAUUCUACUUUAUACAUAUGAUUAAUCUAUGUUUGCCUAACAAAAACAAGUGUUAUAAUUAAGUAGCAGGCAAAUCUUUUUAUUUUUGACUAAAGUUUCAAAAUCGAAUUCCAAACUUAACUAUUUAAAAAAGUAAAAAAAAAAAGAGAAAUUCCUUUCGUGCUUCUUAUAUAAUACUCAGAGCACAAACAUAAUCUUAAAGCUGGAUUAAUUGAUCUUCACUAUGGUAUACACUAAUAUAACAGUUGAUUAGAUAAUGAUUAUCACAGUACGAAGGGUGUUGAAAAAUUUACAUUUGCCACUUUAUGAUGACAAAUUUAUGAAGUGAAGAUAAAGUGGGUGUUAAAGGGUAAAUCUGCAUUCUAGACAAUGAAUAAUGAUUAAGAAUUUAUUCCCAUACAUGGUUUAUCCUUUGUGAGACAAUGGGCCAUUCCAAUCUGUUGACGUCGGCUUCAACAGGAAUUUCUAUUGGGGGCAGCGAUGUGACAAAGUCUUUGUGGCAAAAUGGUGUCAACAAAUCGAACUGAUUCCGGAAAGUAGAAUUUUCUUUUUCCCCAAAGAGUUGUGUUCCCAAAUAUUCCUAGAGAAUGGUCUGUGAUAUCACAUUAUGUUAAGCAAUUAACGGACCUCUAAAUGUUUUUGAAUUUUCCCUAAAGGAGCAAAGGGUGAUGCUGCUAGAUAAGGAAAUUGUCUUCAUUUCUUACGUUUAAUAUAGGGGUAAAUUAGUUAUUACCUUGUUUAAUUGAUGGAAUUUAGAGGGAAAUGAAGGUAUAAAAUGUCAUGCUAAAAUGUUGAAUUUGAUGAUGCCAACAAUGGAGUUCAAUCAACUACCGGCUAGAUUGACUCUCUUAGGACCAAGUCAGUUAGAAGAGAGAGUAGUGAGAGAAAGUAAAGAGAUUUAUGUGUGGUGUAUAAAAAGAAAAAAAAAUUAGAAGUUCUUUUUUCGCAUUCGGUUUAUUGAUUAGUGAAUGAUCUCUCUAUAAAAAGAAUAAGAUUCGAAUUUCUUUUCUCUCAAAUAUAUGUAUAAAAAAUACCAUCCCUUUCUUAGUAGUAAUAGAUCUAAUUUAUUGCACUUUGAGAGCAUAAAUGGAGGUUAAAUGACCUAAAAUGCCUAAGUUAGGUUGCCCACUCUUUAUGCAUGACAACACUUUUUACAGCUUUAGCAAGUUAGAAAUGAUGGCAUAUUGUUAUUGCUUUCAAUCAGUAUUCAGUUUCUUUAUCCUCCUUAAUUUCAGGCAUCAUUUUGCUUUAACUGGUUUUGACUUUUGAUAGACCAAAAAAUAAAAAAUGGAAGAUAAAUGAUUUUUUUUUUUUAAAAAUCAAAGUAUCUUUCUUUAGGAUCCACCUUUUGCACAUAGCAUGGCUUUCAAUGGUAGUUGACUUGUGCAACUAGUGCUAAUCUAAACUUAAUUCUGCAAUCAAAGCCAGAUACUAUCAUCAAAAUUCAUGCGUUGUUUAAGAAACGAAAGACUACUGCAUACAUCGUAUCAUUUUGAAUGAAAGAUGGUCAUGAUCUAGCAAGUACUAAGAAUUUUUUGCUAUGUUCCUUCCAAAGUGGAGUUAACAUGACAAAAGCAAGCUCUUGGACAUUUCAUAACUUCAACAUAUACACUUAAGGUAAAUCUACAAACAAGUCAUAUCUGUAAAAUUUCACUUUCACUUGAUCAAGAAAAUGGGCAAUCUUUUACCAAACUUUCCUUGUAAAACCUCAAACUAAACCAAACUUCCAACAACAAAAAACAACAUAAACAACAAGAAUUCACGUAUAAUCAACCUCAAACUAAAGCAAACCCGACUGUCAAUGUUCGCUUGAUCAAGAAAAUUUAAUUUGUUACUUUGUCUCCGGAGCCUUGAGUACAAGUACCAACACUCCAAUUCUGCUAUUUAUCCUACGAAUGAGAGCAAAAAUUAGAAAACUGUACAGACUGACCAAAAAGGAGGUUUAGAUUGACUGAAACCAGUCAUCAAGCAUACGAAAACGGAUGACUUUUUUACUAAAAAUAAUGAAAAGUGAUGACUAAUAUUAGACUAACAUUUUGGUCUUUGGUUUUGAGCUUUAACAGGCAUUUUGUUAACUUUUAAGAAAAAAAAUAAUAAUCCUUAAAAAUCGACACUAGUAAGCAAAAGCAAAACAAGAUGAAGAAGAAGACCAGAUACCAAAAGCCGGAAACGACUAAAACAGCUGGUUUUAAAAUACCAUAUCAAAUAUAAAACGGUUUGAAAUGGACCCCACACAAAGCUAUCUAGUGCAUUGCUAAACAAAAGGGAAUAAAAACCAAUCAGAAAUAAAAUGAAACAAGAACACGUGUAUAUCACGUUGAUCAGAUAAGUAAAGAAAGAAUGUGACAAUCACGAGCUGUCACUUUACCAAACAGUUUAAAAAAGGUUUGCUCCAUGCAUCAAUUCAACCUUCCACCUUCAACGCACUUUCUGGAAGUUGAAUUUGUAGACUCCGAGCUUCAAUCUCAUUAGCUCAUAUUUAUUUUUAUUAAAAGGUGUGUUUGGUUUAUAAGAAGAAAUAGAGUGAGAAUGGAAUAAUUAUUUCGUAUGAAUAGAAUAUACGAUGAAUAACUAUUAUGUAAUUUGAUUUAUGGGAAUGAUAUAUGACAUGAAUUGUUAUUAUAAAUUAUUUUAAUGUUUGAUUAGCAUGAAUAGUUUUAAGAAUAAUUAAGGAGUAAGUGAUAAAUGACAAAAAUACCAUUUAAUAUAAUAUUUAAUUUUGAAUUAAAAUAUUAAUUUUAUUAUUUUAUUCUUUAUUUUAAAAUAUUAAAAUAUAAAAAUUUUAUAAUUAAAAUUUUAAUUUAAUUUUUAAGUUUAAAAUAUUAACUUUUUAUAAUGUUUAAUUAAAACUUAACCUUUUUAUUUUAAAUUCAUUUAAAUAUUUUCUUUUUAAUUUUUAAAUUUUAAAUGCAUUUUAAUUUAGUGAGAGAAAGAGAGUGGUAGUUGGGUAGAGAGAGAAAGAAAUUGUAAAAAAUGAAUAAAAUGUAUUUUACAUAGUAGGGUAAUUCUUCAAAUCAAUGAAGGAUAUUUUUGUCCAUUAAUGUUUUUACUCUAUUCUUCGCUUCUCGGAAUAGCCAAUAUCGAGGAGCCCAUACCAAAAAGGGCCUGGGAAUUGAGUGUUCCCUUAUAUCCCUGAAUGGCAAUUUCUUCCAACCAAAUAAAGUGUUAAAGAAGGAUUAGGAAUAAGAGGAAUGACUAUUCCAUUCCUUCCAACCAAAUAUGCUGUAAGUGCUUUAGUAAAGAUGUCAACCAACUGAUCAUUGGUGCUAUAAUACUUAACCAGAACCUCAUUGUUUUUGAUGGCUUCUCUUAUAGCAUGGUGUUUAACUGUUAUAUGCUUUGUUCUUCCAUGAUUAACUGGAUUUGAAGUAAUCACAUAGCAAAAUUGUUAUCCACCCAAAGAACUAUUGGUUGUUCAUGAAUCACUUUCAAAUCUAAUAGGAUCUUUUGAGCCAGAGUGCUGGAUUUAUUAAAGCUGAUGUAGUCACAUAUUUUGCCUUUAUAGAGAAUUGUGCAACAAUUUCCUGUUUUUUAGAAUUCCAAGAAAAUAUAGCACUCCCAAAGGAGAAGUAGUAGUUACUUGUGCUUUUAGAAUCUUCCCAACUCCUUACCCAAUCAUUGUCUGAGUAACCGUGCAAUUCCAGCUUCAUAUUCUAACCGAAUUUUAAACCAUAACUUAAGGUUCAUUUAGCAUAUCUAAGAAUCCUUUUAGUUGCCAUUAAAUGAACUUCUGAAGGCUUUUGCAUAAAUCUAGACAACAGACUAGUAGCAUGCAUAAUAUCUGGUCUAGAUGUAGAAAGAUAGAGUAAACUUCCAAUGAGGUUUUUGUAGUACGUCUCAUUAGCUUCUACAUUUCCAUCAUUCAAACCAAACCUGUUUUCAGUGACCAGUGGUGUUGCUACUGACUUAUAGUUUUCCAUCUUGAAGUUCUUCAACAACUCUGAACCAUAUUUUUUUUGGUGCAUCAGUAUAUAACCUGCAUUUUGCUUAAUCUGCAAACCCAAAAAAUAUGACAUUUUCCCCAAAUCAUUCAUAUCAAACUCAUUUUGCAUUUUUCCUUUGAAGUCAUUCAAAAUAUCUUCACUUGGCCCUGUGAUGAGUAGAUCAUCGAAAUAGAGAGAAAUUAUAAGAUAUACAAGAUUACUUGAGCUUUUGACAUACAAAGUAUGUUCAUUUUCACUUCUUAUAAAGCCUCGAUUUAAUAAAUAGUUGUUCAUUCUUUCAUACAAAGCUCGUGGGGCUUGUUUAAGACCAUACAGUGCCUUGAGUAAUUUACAUACUUUAUUUUCUUUCUCAACUAGAACAAAGCCUUUAGGUUGCUCAACAUAGAUAUUUUCUUUGAUAGUCCCAUUUAAGAAUGCAAAUUUGACGUCCAAGUGCUAUAUUGGCCAUCCUUCAAUAGCUACAAGUGCCACCAGUAGCCUAAUUGUAUCUUGUUUGGCUACUGGUGCAAAAGUCUCAAAGAAAUGCACUCCACAUACUUAAGAGAACUUCACAACAAAUCUAGCCAUGUAUUUAUUGAUAGUUUCAUAUGAGUUAAGUUUUCUUCUGUAGACCCACUUAACUCCUAUUACUUUUUGAUUCUCAAGUCUGUCAACCAAACAUUAGGUAUUAUUUUUCUUAAUCAUCAUCAUCUCAGUCUUCAUAGCUUGUCUAUAAAGCUCAUUUACAAUAGCUUCUACAUAUGAACUUGGUUCAAAGAUAGCAACAUAACACCUUAAAUAAAUGUCUUCCAAAGAUUUUGUCCCUUUCACAAGAGGUUCAUCAUUAUCAUCAUCUAACUCUAGUUCAUUGUCAUGUUUUGAUAUGUAAUCUAUCACAAUGUGUUGAUUGUGUGAACUUUCUACAACUUUAGUGUCCCAAUUCCACUUCUUGCUUUCAUAAAAAACAACGUCCUUAUUAGUAAAGAACUUCAUUAUCAUGACUUUCAAUCAUCUAUAUCCUUUAGAAACUUCAUUAUACCCAAGGUGAAUUGCAAUAACAAAUUUUUUGUCUAGUUUUAUUCUCUUAACAUUUGAUAUCUUUGCAUAACAUACACAUCCAAAUAUUUUUCAAUGAACAAUUGAAGGUUUCAAAUCAUACCAAGCUUCAUAAGGAAUCUUACUUACCAGGGCUUUUGUUGGAGCUAAGUUUAGCAAAUACUUGGUUAUGUUCACAUCUUCUGCCCACAGUGUUUUUGGCAAACUUUUCUUAAAGAGUAAACACCUUGCCAUCUCCAUUAAGGUUAUAUUUUUUAUCUUAGAAACACCAUUCUAUUAAGAGCUAUAAGACACUGUUAACUGAUGUAAAAUACCAAACUUGCUCAGGUAACGUUCAAACUCUUUAUUUAUGUAUUCACUACCAUUUUCACUCCUUAGCAUUUUAAUGGUCAUGUUCAUUUGAUUUUCUACUAGUGCUUUGUACUUAAUAAACACUUUCAAAGCAUCAUAUUUCACUUUGAGAAAAUAAACCCAGGUCAACCUUGUAUAGUCAUCAAUAAAUAGUAAAUAAUACUGCUUCUAUUUAGAGAUGAAGUCUUCAUGGGGCUUUUAAGAUCAGUAUACAUCAACUAUAACUUUUGUGUAGCAUUCCAUCUUUUGACUUUGGGAAAUGCUGCACGUUUGUGCUUGCCAAAUUAACAAAUAUCACAUACCUUGUUACAGCUUGAAAUCAUUGGCAAACCAACUACCAUUUUAUUUGUGCUCAUCAAUUUAAGUGAACCUAGUUCACAUGACCAAAUCUUUUUUGCCAAAGGUCAUUAUCACUCACAGUGCACUUGUAAGCAGAAUGAUUAACUUUCAUCCAAUCUAGAGGAAAACAUUUUUUCCUCAUCCCUACUAUUAGUAGCUCAAUUUUAGUAGGAUCUUUAAUUGUCCAUGCCUUAUCCCUGAAUACUAAUUCAUAAUCAUCAUCCACCAGCUACCUUACAUUGAGUAGGUUUUGACUAACAUCAGGUGCAUAAAAAAUGUUUGAAAUUGACUUUAAACCAUCAAGUGUUUGCACUCAUACUAUACUAACUCCAAAGAUAAAUAGGAAAUCUCCAUUGCCAAUUUCUAUCUUAGUUUUGAAGCUGCCAUCAAGAGUUGCAAAACUCUGCUUGCAACCAGUUAAAUGGCUUGAGUAGCCACUAUCUAUCAACUAAGUGUUUUUUUUUUCAUCAGAAUCAACCUUCUUAACCGUGAAAAGAACUUCAUCGUCCACCUAAUCCUUCUGCUAAGCAAGAACAACUUUUUAGUUCCUCGAUUCUUAUAAACUUUUUCUAUAUGACCUUAUUGGUUACAAGUUCUACAUUUGACAUUAGGCUUGUACCAGCAAAACUUCUUAAUAUGAUUGGUCAUUUUGUAGUAUGAGCAAGGUGAACAAGUCCUUUUUUGAUUUCCUUAAUUCUUUUUCAUUGGUUUUCUUUCCUUUGUUCUUUCUUUCAUUCCUAGACUUCUUGCUAUACCCAUCGUUGUGUUGAUAUUCUACAUUUCUAGCCAUCAAGGCACCUUCAAUAACAUUUUCCUGCCUCAAUGCCUUUUUCUAUUCUUAAGGUUGUAAAGUAUUCAUAAGCUCAUUUACAGAAAUUGAUCCUAAAUCUCUAGAAUCUUCUAGAGAUGAAAUUUUUGACUCACAGUUCUUUGGGAGACUUACUAAAAAUUUAUUCACUAUUCUUUCCUUAUAUACUUCUUCACCAAAAGCCUUAAACGAUUCACAAUUUUGUGAACCUUAUCUGAAUAAUCUUGAAUUGUCUUUUCAUCACCCAUUUUUAGAGUUUCAAACUUUCUCCAAAGGUUCAAAGCCUGAAGUUGUCUAGUCCUAUCAUUCCCAAAAAUCUCUACCUUUAUCUUAUCUUAAGCCUCCUGUGGUGAUUUACAAUUUAUAAUUGUAAAUAUAGAAUCUAAGAUUGUAGAAUGUGGAAUAGAAAGUGCUUUGUACCUUUUUGCUACUUUCUCAUUAUGCUGUUUCAAUUGAGCAAUGAUUGGGUUGACGACUCUUAAAAUGGGGGGAUCACCUCCAGCAUUAACAAUCUCCCACAAGUCAUAGGCUCUCAGAUAAGCCUCCAUCUUAAUCGCUCAAAUUUGAUAAUUUUGCCUAGAAAAAAUGGGAGAAGUAGUGACACUGAGGCUAGAAAAAGCCAUUAAAAACAUAGAGUUUAAAAGUUGAGAAAAAAAAAGCAAUCACCACUGAAGAAAAAAUUCCUUACAGUCCCACAAGAUCCAAGUAAUGCUUUGAUACCAUGUUAACUUUUAAGAGAAAAAAAUAAUAAUCCUUAAGAAUCAACAUUGAUAAGCAAAAGCAAAACAAGAUGAAGAAGAAGACUCAGGUAAUAAAAGUUGGAAAUUCAUAUUCACAAUGGCUAAAAUAGUUGGUUUUAACAUACUAGAGCAAAUACAAAACAGUUUGAAAUAGACCACACACAAGUUGUAUGGUGCAUUGCUAGAUAAAAGGAAAUAUGUUGCGUGGCCAUUACAUCAAAUGUGGCUAAUAGCCAAAUGAAAUAAAAAACAACCUGAAAUAGAAUGAAACAAGAACACGUGCAUAACACGAUGAUCAAAUAAGUAAAGAAAGCAUGUGAAAAUCAUGUGAUUGUCACUUUACCAAACAGUUUAAAAAAGUUCACGCCAUACUAUAAUUUAACUGCCCACCUUCAACACAAUUUUUAUCUUUUACGAAAAUUACCUUGAAUUUUCUUCAUGACAAAAGCCCAUGUAACCUUAUAUCACCUACCAUCGCAACAAACCUUUCCUGAGUUUUGCAUUCUCUCCCAUCAUUGAAGCUACUUGAAAGUUCUAAAGAUGAAAAAUCAAUUUAGUAUAUAUAGUAUCAAAUAAUAUAUUGAGGAUUAUUCUUAAUUUACACAAUUUUAAUAAUAACUUUUACAAGUAUUUACAAAGCUAUCAUUUUUCCCUUAGUUUCAUUCUUCACAUUUGCUCUCAAGAGAAGCAUGAAUGUCCAUAAUGCUCAUCUUGCCUAUCAAAUGGUAGAACUGUAUAGGUUGCAAUGCUUUUGUGAACAUGUUUGCCAAUUGAUUCUUGUAAAAACAUGUUUUGGAAUGGUGAUUCUUUCUAAGACUUCAUCUUUAAUAAAUCGACAAUCUAUUUCUAUACGUUUAGUCCUUUCAUGAAAGAUAGGAUUUUUACAUAUAUGGAAAGCAAAUUAAUUGUCACAAUAGAAGUAAAUUGAUCUUUGAUGUGUAACACCAAAAUCUGCAAGUAAAGACUGAAUCCAUACGGUUUCACAAGAGACUACAACCAUGGUCUUAUAUUCAAAUUUUACGUAACUCCUUACCACUACAAAUUGUUUUUUGAAUUUCUAGCUAACAAAAGAAUCUCUUAUGAGCACACUAAGCUUGUAAUGGACCUUCUAGUGUCUUGACAACCAACUUAAUCAUUGUCAGUAUACACCUUCAAAUGCAAAUUAGAAUGAGAUGCCAAUAGUAUACCUGAUCUUGGUGCCUUGUUCAAAUACUUAAAAACCCUAUCAUUGGGUUUAUCCAUAAUCUGUGACAAGCAUUGGACAACAUAUGCUAUGUUGAGUCUAGUGAAAGUCAUGAGAUACAAAAGUUUCCUCACCAACUACCUAUAUGUAGUAAGAUUCACAAAGUUCUCAUUAAUAUUAUCCUUUGUAAUCUUAUGAUUAUAAUAUAUAGGUGUUCAAGCAGGUUUGCAUCCCAAAAAUCCAUAAUCAUUGAUUAAAUCUAAAACAUAUUUUCUUUGAAAAAGAAAUACAUUUUGUUGUUCUUUUUAUCUCUAAACUAAAGAAGUACUUAAUCUCUCUUAAGUCCUUGAGCUUAAAUUUGGAUUUGAAAUACUUUUUUACUUGCUCUGCUACUUUUGUUGUAGUACUGCCAAUCACUAUAUGAUCCACAUGAACCAUCAAAGAUAUGAACUCUCUUUUGUCAAUCCUUUUUGUAAAUAGAGAAUAGUCAAACUUGGAUUGUUGAGGCACUUGAACAUUUGGCUCAUUGGUUGGUGUAUGAUCCCUCUGCUUAAAGAAAUCUCCCUUCCCUCAAUUAUAAAAAAAACCUAGAUUGUAGAAACCCAAAAUCUAUAAGAGCAAUAGUAAAUUUAGAAUUCUAUUGUCUUAAAGCUUGCUUAAGCCCAUAUAAUGAUUAUUGACAUUAGCAAUGACUUGGUAAAAAGGUUUGCAAGAUGAUUGGUAGAGCGAAUUUGUUUAAUGUCAACUUGUCAACUUUCUUGGAGUUUGUGAGUAUAGAAAAAUUUCUGCAAGAUAUUCAUGGUUUUAUCACCUUUAAUAUAUCCUCCCUUGACUUGUGAAACACAAGUAACAUUAUCUUCAUAAAUUAUGGUGGGAGAAUUUGUAACUGGUGUUAAACAACAAGAAUUAUGAAUAUGCGUUAUAAUGGAUCUCAACCAAAUGCACUCUCUUCCAACUUCUUAUAGAGUGAUAAUUUUGGAGUGGUUAAAGGAUGUAGUUACUAGCGUUUUGCUUAGUAGAGCGCCAAGAAAUGGCAGUGCCAUUAUAGCAAAAUAAAUAACUGGUUUGAAAGCGAGCCUUGUACGGAUCAGAUUUAUAUCCCAUAUUAGCGUAUUUUACUAAACUAGAGUUAAUGAAAUCCUUGGAAUAAUAUAAUCCUCGAUCUAUGGUUUUCCAGAGAUAAUGAAAUAUAUGUUUUAUCCUAUUCUAGUGUCUUUGGUUUGGCUCAGAACAAAAAUGUGCCGACAACCAUAAGGGAUCAAAGCCCCAAUUACAUUAAGAUAUGGUACUUUAGGACUAAGUAUCUUUGCAUUAGGUUCUUUAGAAUGAAACAGGUCUUUUUGGGGAUCAAGAGACGUCACAACCAUAAGGGUGCUCAAUGGGUGAGCCUUAUCCAUGUUAAAAUGUCUAAGCAAUUUCUUAAUGUAUGUUGAUUGAUGGAUAAGUAAUCCAUUUGUUUUAUGCUCAAGCUUUAGACCAAGAUAAAAUUUGGUUUUACCCAAAUCUUUAACUUUAAACUCCUUUUUCAAAUAUUCAGCAGUUUUAGAUAACUCUUAUGAAGUUGUAAUCAAAUUCAUAUUAUUAACAUAAAUUACUAGCAUAGCAAAUCUGGUUUUCGAUUUCUUAAUAAAUACACAUGGGCAUAUAGGAUUAUUUUUGUACCCUUCCUUAAUUAGAUACUUGCUUAAGCGAUGAUAACACAUGUGACCAAAUUAUUUUAACCUGUAUAAAGACUUUUGUAAUUUUAUUGAGAAUAAGUUAUGGGGAGUGUAUGCUUUAGGAAUUUUGAACCCCUUGAGAAUUUUCAUAUAAAUAUCGGAGUCUAAUGAACCAUAUAGAUAUGCCGUCACAACAUCCAUAAGACGCAUUUUUAGUUUUUCAGAAACAGUUAGGCUAAUAAGGGAAUGAAAGAUAAUCAUAUCUAUCACAGGUGAAUACAUCUCAUCAUAAUCAAUCGUAGGUUUUUUAGAGAAUUCUUGGGCUACAAGUCAAGCUUUAUACCUCACUGCCUUAUUUUUCUCAUCUCGUUUUCGGAUAAAGACCCAUUUGUAUCCAACAAGCUUUACAUUGUCCAGGAUUCGAGCUAGACGUUCCAAAACCUCUUGUUUAGCUAAGAAAGCCUAUUUAGCCUAGAUUGUUUCCCCCCCCAAUUAGGCCAAUCUUACCUUUGAUGACAUUCGAUGAUAGAUUGUGACUCAAAAUCAUCAUUCAUAAUCUCAAGAGUAAUUCUGAGUGCAAAAACAUCAUCGAUGAUUAUCUUAUUCUGAUCCCAAUCUCAUUACAAUAUGUAAUAGAGAUCUUAGUAUUCUCAAGGUCGGCAAUCUUGUCAUGGGUUCAUGCCUUUUCAGUGGCAAUAGGCUCUUUUGGAGCAAGCUUAAUACCAGUCUCAUUUGGAGUAGAUUCUUGAUUCCUUCCUAUUUCAUUUUUGAGUUGCAGUGUUUUUUGAUCUCAUUAGUCUUCCACAGUUCAGGUAUAGGUUAUUUUGAUCCAUUUCAGCUUGUCUUUCAAGAACAACAAUCCUAGUUGGAGCAUUUACAGCUAGAAUAUGAGACUUCAUGACCUUGGUAGUAUCAUUAAAUGCGUUAAGAAGUCCAUUAGCAAUAGCUUGUAAAUUGAUUAUAGGUUGCACCUUGUUUUCACAUUCAGGAGUUUUAGGUAUAAAUGUGAUAAAAUUUUCUUAUUCUAGGAAAAUUUCUCUACUGGUUUAAGCUUCUUAGCCAUGGAAGCUUUAGAUAUACCAAUUGAUGGAAACACUUUCUCAUUGAAAUGACAAGUCGUGAAUCUGACGAUAAAAAGAUCACCCAUUGUUGGUUCCAAGAACCUAAUAAUGGACGAUGAAUCAAACCCAACGUAAAUGCCUAAAUGGUGUUGGGGACCCAUUUUAGUCCUUUUAGUAGUGCUACGGGCACUUGUACAACACAACCAAAGGUUUGUAAAUGUGAAAUGUCUGGUUUAUAGCCUAGAACCAACUACAUGGAAAUUAUAAAAGGUUAGUGGUGGGGCACAAUCUAAUUAGUGCCACUGCAUGCAAAACAAUAUGACCCCACACUGAAUAGUUGAGCUUUGUCCUCAAUAAAAGAGUACGAGAAAUAAUUUGGAUGCAUUUAAUCAGGGAUUCCGCCAAUCUGUUUUAAGUAUGAAUAUGUGGAACUAGGUGUUUAACCUCGAUUCCUAGUGAAACACAAUAGGUAUCAAAGUUAUUUGACGUAAAUUCACUAGCAUUAUCCAACCUUAUGCUCUUGAUUGGAUAAUUAGGGUAGUGUGCUCGAAGCUUUAUAAUUUGUGUAAGUAAACAAGCAAAAGUGACGUUGUGUGUAGAUAACAGGCCAACAUGGGACCAUUAGUAGGAUGCAUAUACUAACACUAUAAAAUAUCGAAAUGGCCCACUUGCUGGUUGUAUUGAUCCAUAAAUAUCACCCUGAAUUCUUUGUGAGAAUGAAAGGGAUGCAAGAUCAACCUUUGUCAUAAAAGGUUUAGUAAUGAGCUUUCCUUGUGAACAAGUUUCAUAUGUAUAAUCCUUGGACAAUAAAACCUUUUUAUCUUUUAAAAGGUAUCCUCUAGUAUUUUGGAUUAUCCUACGCAUCAUCAUAACUGUUGGGUGACCUAAAUGAUCAUGCCAAAGUCCAAACUCAUUAGGAUUUACUAGUUUUCAAGACAUGGUACUAUUAAUUAAAAUUCUACUUAUGCAAGUACAUAUCGUAAAGAUAGUAUAAUGGCAAAUAGAGUAUCAAUCCCAUUAAUAAUUGUUCUAAAAAUCUUACUAAGUAUUAAAAUUAAUGCAAUUUAAUUUUAUCCAAACAAUCAAAAAGCAAAAAAUUAAUUUAACUAAAAAUUAACAAAGCUAAUUAACAAAAAUAAAAAUCAAAACAGAAAUAAAAUCUUAAUAGAAAUCAAUAGAAAUAAGCCGAAGAUUAUAAUAUCCCUCAUACUUUAUCUAAAUCUUACUUUCUUCCUUAACUUAUUUCUAUGGGUUGAAUUGCUAACCUAGAGUCCUUAAUUAUUUAUAAAGGUCUCUCGACUCGUCUUAUAAAAAUAUCUAUUUUACUAAAACACUAUAUCUUUAUGUGAAUUGAAAUUAAAAUAGAUUCGUUAAGUUCAGGUUCUAAUUCUAGCUACAUAUGGCAUAUAGGUAUAUCCUUAUCUUAUACACAAAUCAAUUAAUAUGAUCAUAGGCUAUUAUAAUCUUAGUCUACACUAAAGUCCUUCUCUCGAGUUAUGUUUGGGGUUCUAAAUCAAUUUAAUUGGUAGCUAAGCAAUUAAAAACAUUAAGAAUAAAUUGGAAUAAACAAUUCAAUUUCAUUAAAAAUAAAGAAGAAAGACAUUAAAAAUUCAGAUUACAUGUGAGUUCAAUUGCAAUCUUAGAAAAAUAAAAUUAGCUACUCAUAAUUGCAAAGAUAAAUAAAAAUAUGUGAAGUUUAACCAUUAAGAGUAACAAGAAAAAUAAAAGCUAAGGAAGAAAACAAAACAGAUUUUUGUAGUCUUAUUCUCCAAGUUACAACCUCAACUUCUAGCUUCUUAAAUCUCUUAGGGUUGUCUGCUUUAACUUCUCCUAAAACAACCUUUUUAUACUCACAAUCUCAACCUAAAAUUCUGUAAGUUAACCUACUAACUCUAACUAUUGGGCUUAGAAGUGUUAUGAAGCCUAAACAUCAAAUAUGAUCCUUAAAAUUGCUAUUCCCAUAAUAUUAUGCCUAGUCAUUUUUUGAUGCAAUUGUCUCUAUCUUUAAAGCAGAACUAGGCAAAAUGGUCUCAUGAAUGUUGUAGCUCUGUCACUUAGCUUUCCAAUGGCUUAAUAAUCGCAUCAUUUGGACACAUGGAUUGCGCAUUAUGGUCAAAACACUAAAGCAUGUACAAAUAGAAUUUUGGAUCCUUCAAACACCUUUCUUUUAAAAAUUAAACCCUAUUCUCUUAAAUCUUACAAAAGCAUAAAAACUAAUAAAUAAUAGCUAAAUUAAAUUAAAUAAACAUAAAAUUAAAAUAACUUAAUAAAAAUAAACUAAUCACAAAAAUAACUAAAAAUAACUAAAUUCUAAUUAAAAUUUAAAUACUUAACUAACAUUUAAGAGCAAAAUGGGAUUAAAAUAAUUCUAUAAAAUAGAAUUAUCAGGUAGCGUAAGAUUCUGUUAGAUUAAUAAGCUCAAUAUGAGUAAGUCUAAGAUGGGUUGAAUUGGACUAUUUUGAAAAAUUUGAAUAACCUUUUAUUUUUAAAGAAAAUAAGAUCUCUUCUUUAAAUCAAAUGCUCAAUUUGAAAAUGAUUAAAUUAAUUGAUCCCUUGAUCAAUGAAAGAAAUUAGAGUUUCAAGUAAAUAGGAAGAGUGAUGAAAUUGACACAAGUAGUUUAUAGAAGUUCAGCCUCCUUGCCUACGUCCUCUCUCUUAGAUUCACUAAGGAGUUUGAAAUCCACUACUUUACCAUCAAGAUUCACUACAAUGCCUUAUGUGGAUCAAGCAAAACCAUUCAAGACAAUGCCUUUUUAUGGUUAAAGCACAACUACUUUACCAUUUCUAUUGGUUAAGGUAUAACCACUUAAGCAAGUACAACAAGAGGAAUAUAAGUGCAGCUAAUAUGCCUUAUAAAGGCUGGACAGAGAAUUUGGUACAGUGGUUAAAUGAAAAGAUAAGAACUUAAUAAAUGCUUGACUAGAAGACUUUUUGAAUUUUAGAAGAGUACAAUGGGUUUUGAAUGUAACUUGGCUAAAUCUUUUUCUUGAGUUGUGUUUUGAAGUCUUUUAACCUUCAUAAAUGUUGAAAAAACUUGUAUUUAUAGUUGUUGGAACUUCAAGGGUAGUUGGGAGUGCAUUUAAUGUGAAAAUAACAAUUCUUCUUUUUAUUCAAGGCUCCAACGGUCACAUCUUAUCGAUACAUAUGUGUAUGUAUCGAUACAUUACCUUUUAUUUUUGAAUUCCUGUUGAGAUGUAUCGAUACAUUUAUGCAUGCAUCAAUACAUUUGAACUUGCUCGCAACAGUUUUGACAUUCUACUUAAAAUGUAUCGAUACAUAUGUGUAUGUAUCGAUUCUUUUGAGAUAGUAAGCACUUCUAUUGAAAAUGUAUCGAUACAUUUCUAAAAUGUAUCAAUACUUCUAGGGUAGUAAGCAUUCUGUCUCAAUUCUAUCGAUAUAAUUGAGAAUGUAUUGAUAGAUUUGAGUUUGACUUUAAGUUUUGACUAUGUUAAAAAACUUGUAUCAAUAGAUGUUGGAAUCUAUUGAUAUUUAUCCAAAUGUAUCGAUACAUGAAGAACAUCUAUUGAUAGAUUUGGACCAGAAUGCAAUUUUCAGAGCCUUUUUCAUUUUUUUUCAAACUUCUUGACAUUGUUUUGGAAUGUGAGAGCUUUGAUCCUCUAUAAGUAAAAUGAAUUUUGGUCAUUUUAUUUUGUCAUUUCAAAAUAUAUAAAGAAGAAUUAUUUUAACAAUUUCCUCCUUUUUGAUAUGACAAAACCAAUAAGCAAAAUUUUGAAAUUUGAUUUGUUAGAUUUAUUUUAGGAUCUAGAAAUUUGUUUUAAUUUUAAGUCCUCCUCCUUAAAUUAUGCUCCCUUUUAACUCAAGGUCUCAAAGAAUUAUGUGAUUUAGGAAUUUACUCUCCGUUCUCCUCUUUUGUGUUAUAUUAAAAAAUGAAGAAUCAUACAAAGAGAGAGAGAGAGAGAGCAACACAAGUGAAUUAGGAAUUGUAAAUGGCAUGUGAGCAUAAACCAAUAAAAGAACUAGUCAUAAUCAGAAUGAACACAGGUGAUGAAGGUACAAAUCAAAAUGACAAUAAACAUAAACAACUGUGUUGAGUUAGAAUAAAUCCUAAACCAAAGUACAACCAAAAUUGGUCAUUGAAAACCAUGUAAUAGUAGUAAAAGAGAUCCGAAAUAAACUAAAAAAAUCCAGUAAAUGUGCAAUGAUGAUCAUAAAGAGAAUGUGGCCAUCUAAUCUAACAAGGCAUGAAAGAGGAAGUGAGCAUCCAAUGUCCCAUGUGAAGAGCUCAAGCAAGUAGUGGAAAUUGAGCACAAAACGUAGUGAAUUGCUCCUUAAGAAGUUGCUGGCGAUAGAGAAGCUUUCGGUUCUGAGCCUCUAAGGCAUCCAACCUAUGAACAACACAAGCAUCCAUAGAUUCCAUAAAAGAUAACAAUCGAGAAUAGGCUUGCCCAUUAUCAAAGGUGGUGGACAUAAAAGGGUAGCUAGGACCGAUACUAGGGUGAGCACUUGGACCGACUCUAGGGGUAGCACUAGGAAUGACGCUAGGCUUAGCAAAGGUGUUCUCAUGAUCCUCAUCUCCAGCAAACUUAGGGUCAUUGACUAUUUCUUUGCAAACCUAAGAGUUAUUAACAAACACUAGUUAUUGACAAACACGAAGCCAAGCUUAUUGAUGGCAUGCUCAUUGAUCUUUAUGUGCAUCGCAUGUUGCUUAGGUGGAUCACACCUAGUGUUGAUGCCUAUAGAGUUGAUGAUUGCAUUUAUCACCAUGCCAUAUAGAAGUGUCUUCUUAGAUUUGGCUAUGAUUUUUAACAUGUCAUCAAGAAUAAACUUGGCUAUGUUGGCACGCUGGUUGCGUUUGAUGCAGUACAAAAACUAGAAAUCCUCACUCUUGACGGUAGAAUAAUUUGUGCUGUGAAGGUAAAGAGCAAGUGAGAUGAUAGGGUGGAGAAUGCGAUCAUAAAAUGAUAAAUGUUUGACAUUGGUCAUGUUUUCCUUACUCGUGGGAGGAUAGGUGUAAGUAGUGGAUAAGAUUUCUUGUGACAUGACACCCUCAACAUAUUUUAAAUCACCUUGACGAAUCUUGAAGUCUAGAAUAGAAUCGAGUGUGUGCUGCGCAACCAUAAUUUUCUUGCCCAUGAUAUAAGUACGGAACCUAUUAGUGUGCUCUAUAGGUUCACUAUCCUCAUAGUCUUGAAAUUUUGUAGUGGCAUUGAAAUAAAAGAAUCGGACAAGAUCGACAUAAUAAAUUUGGUUCAUUGACAGAUAAUUGAGCUAGUCUAAUUCUAAAAAAUUAUCAAUAUAUGGAAAAUUGAUGUUAACAAGAUAGUUGAAGUCAAUUACUUGUCCUGGCUUGACAUCUCGCUUAGCAAAAUCCUUGUUGAAUUGCCGCUCCAAGGAUGGAUGAGAGGAAUUCCACUUGAAAGAGCAGUCGUCAGAGUGUGGCGUCGGCAGUGGUGGAGGUUGGGAGGAAGGUGUCACGACCUGGAACCUCCCUCAGGCCCAUGACAAUAGCCGCGACGUCCCGAUUGACACUCAUUAUCCGGAAUGCCAACCGGAACCCCGCAAGGCUUACAUAUCAGUUUCUUUCAUUUUCUAUGAGCAAUCAUUGUUAAAUAUCGAGUUUUUAGAGAAUAUUUACUAUUUUAGAUAAAAAACAAUCAAAAUAAAAUUUUCGCCACACAGGGGUAUUUUGGUCAUUUUUUCUCAAAAAUUUCAAAACUGGCUAAAACGUAAUUUAUAAGUACAAAAUACAUAAUUCAUAUUCAAAAUGAGUUUAAAAGUCUAAAAUCUUCAUUUAAAACGAAAUUACGGUUAUUUGAAUAUAAUAAGAAAAUAAAAGAAAUAUUAAGGGAAAUAUUUUAUUUUCUUAUAAAACAAUAUUUAUAGAGUUAUACGUNNNNNNNNNNNNNNNNNNNNNNNNNNNNNNNNNNNNNNNNNNNNNNNNNNNNNNNNNNNNNNNNNNNNNNNNNNNNNNNNNNNNNNNNNNNNNNNNNNNNNNNNNNNNNNNNNNNNNNNNNNNNNNNNNNNNNNNNNNNNNNNNNNNNNNNNNNNNNNNNNNNNNNNNNNNNNNNNNNNNNNNNNNNNNNNNNNNNNNNNNNNNNNNNNNNNNNNNNNNNNNNNNNNNNNNNNNNNNNNNNNNNNNNNNNNNNNNNNNNNNNNNNNNNNNNNNNNNNNNNNNNNNNNNNNNNNNNNNNNNNNNNNNNNNNNNNNNNNNNNNNNNNNNNNNNNNNNNNNNNNNNNNNNNNNNNNNNNNNNNNNNNNNNNNNNNNNNNNNNNNNNNNNNNNNNNNNNNNNNNNNNNNNNNNNNNNNNNNNNNNNNNNNNNNNNNNNNNNNNNNNNNNNNNNNNNNNNNNNNNNNNNNNNNNNNNNNNNNNNNNNNNNNNNNNNNNNNNNNNNNNNNNNNNNNNNNNNNNNNNNNNNNNNNNNNNNNNNNNNNNNNNNNNNNNNNNNNNNNNNNNNNNNNNNNNNNNNNNNNNNNNNNNNNNNNNNNNNNNNNNNNNNNNNNNNNNNNNNNNNNNNNNNNNNNNNNNNNNNNNNNNNNNNNNNNNNNNNNNNNNNNNNNNNNNNNNNNNNNNNNNNNNNNNNNNNNNNNNNNNNNNNNNNNNNNNNNNNNNNNNNNNNNNNNNNNNNNNNNNNNNNNNNNNNNNNNNNNNNNNNNNNNNNNNNNNNNNNNNNNNNNNNNNNNNNNNNNNNNNNNNNNNNNNNNNNNNNNNNNNNNNNNNNNNNNNNNNNNNNNNNNNNNNNNNNNNNNNNNNNNNNNNNNNNNNNNNNNNNNNNNNNNNNNNNNNNNNNNNNNNNNNNNNNNNNNNNNNNNNNNNNNNNNNNNNNNNNNNNNNNNNNNNNNNNNNNNNNNNNNNNNNNNNNNNNNNNNNNNNNNNNNNNNNNNNNNNNNNNNNNNNNNNNNNNNNNNNNNNNNNNNNNNNNNNNNNNNNNNNNNNNNNNNNNNNNNNNNNNNNNNNNNNNNNNNNNNNNNNNNNNNNNNNNNNNNNNNNNNNNNNNNNNNNNNNNNNNNNNNNNNNNNNNNNNNNNNNNNNNNNNNNNNNNNNNNNNNNNNNNNNNNNNNNNNNNNNNNNNNNNNNNNNNNNNNNNNNNNNNNNNNNNNNNNNNNNNNNNNNNNNNNNNNNNNNNNNNNNNNNNNNNNNNNNNNNNNNNNNNNNNNNNNNNNNNNNNNNNNNNNNNNNNNNNNNNNNNNNNNNNNNNNNNNNNNNNNNNNNNNNNNNNNNNNNNNNNNNNNNNNNNNNNNNNNNNNNNNNNNNNNNNNNNNNNNNNNNNNNNNNNNNNNNNNNNNNNNNNNNNNNNNNNNNNNNNNNNNNNNNNNNNNNNNNNNNNNNNNNNNNNNNNNNNNNNNNNNNNNNNNNNNNNNNNNNNNNNNNNNNNNNNNNNNNNNNNNNNNNNNNNNNNNNNNNNNNNNNNNNNNNNNNNNNNNNNNNNNNNNNNNNNNNNNNNNNNNNNNNNNNNNNNNNNNNNNNNNNNNNNNNNNNNNNNNNNNNNNNNNNNNNNNNNNNNNNNNNNNNNNNNNNNNNNNNNNNNNNNNNNNNNNNNNNNNNNNNNNNNNNNNNNNNNNNNNNNNNNNNNNNNNNNNNNNNNNNNNNNNNNNNNNNNNNNNNNNNNNNNNNNNNNNNNNNNNNNNNNNNNNNNNNNNNNNNNNNNNNNNNNNNNNNNNNNNNNNNNNNNNNNNNNNNNNNNNNNNNNNNNNNNNNNNNNNNNNNNNNNNNNNNNNNNNNNNNNNNNNNNNNNNNNNNNNNNNNNNNNNNNNNNNNNNNNNNNNNNNNNNNNNNNNNNNNNNNNNNNNNNNNNNNNNNNNNNNNNNNNNNNNNNNNNNNNNNNNNNNNNNNNNNNNNNNNNNNNNNNNNNNNNNNNNNCCCCUACACUCCAAAAAUCACCAGAAUUAAACUUUUUCACUUCCUAUCAUUAAAUUAUACUCCAAAUAGUUAAUCUUGGUCAAAAAUUUCACUCCAUGAUCAAAUUAUUAUCUUAGGUGGCAAAAUGACGAUUUUGCCCUUGAACAUCAAAAUUUCCAAUUUUACCCCAAAUGAACUCUCGAACUCCGAACAAUCAUUUUUGUCAUUCUUGGACUAUAAAAUAUUAAAUUUCAUCAUACAAUUUCUAUUUGAACUAGUUCGAGGUUAAAUCAAUUUAAGUGUACCGUUAGGUACAUUAUCAGGUUUCAUCUAUUCUUAGGUGCUUUUCUAGCGUAAUAACAUGCUACUCAAUGCAUGUAUGUCAUGACAUGUAUUUAUAGGGUCGGGUUUUACAGAAGGAGUGGCCUCGAAAGUGGAAGCCUUACUAUGGUUGGCGGUGGAUUUCGUAUGUUUGGGAUGAGAAGCCAUUUGAAGAGGAUUGGGGAAGAAAACGAUCAGUGGAAACUGUUAUGGGGUUGGAAAGAUGAUUUAAUAAGACAAAUUUGGUUGAAAAUGUAACCAAUUUUAAAAAUCGAAGGAAGGGAGAAGUUAGGGUUUUAAAAUUGGGAUUUUGGGUAGAAUGUGAUGAAAAUUUGAGAAAAAAAAUUUGUGAGUAAUAAGAGGAAAUAAAAACAGUUUAAUCGAUGCAAAAUUGAAUGAAGAACAUAAAGAAGUUUGUAAGGUUGAGAGAAUUUGGAAAGGAGAGACGAGCGGUUAGGGUGAAAAUGAGUUGUUGGGUUUUUAAAACCCCAAGAUGUAUCGAUACAUAGGCACAUUUAUCGAUAUAUUUGAGGUAGAAUGUUUUAUUUUUGGCUACUGGACGAAAUGUAUCAAUACAUUUGUAUUGUAUCGAUACAUGUUCUUGAAUGUAUCGAUACAUAUACGUAUGUAUCGAUACAUUUAACACGAGAUUUUAAUGUUGGCUACUGGACGAAAUGUCUCAAUAGCAUGGACAAAUUUAUCGAUACAUGUUCUUCAUGUAUCGAUACAUGGGGUCAUGUAUCGAUACAUAAGGUUUUGUACCUUUUAACAAAAUGCUUUUAACUCCAAAAAUCUAUGAUUUGGUCCAGAUGUUUGAUAUAAACAAAAUAAUGUGAGGUUUUAAGUUUGAAAGUAUUGUUAAGACAAGUUUGGAACAUGUGCAAGGGAAAUUUGAGGAGAAAAUUGAGAAUUUUGUAAGAUAAAGUCUUGGUUCAUUCAUCCACUGUCCCAUAAACCUUAAGAAUCAGAUGGCCAUGGCAUGAAUGAAAAAAUGUUAUGAACAAGCAGGGUCAUUAAUGCCAAGAAUCAUUCAAAAACUUUGCAUGAAGUCAUUCCAAACAUGAAUACAACUAAUCAUCAAGCAUGAUAUCAAGAAUGAAUUUAGACAUGAAUGCAGCCAACCAUCAAAGGUACCCAUAGGCCAAUUUGUUUUUAUAUUGGGUUUAUCAAAACUAGUUCACUUCUAAUCUUGCAGCAUUGUUCUCUAUUAAGCAUUUUGUAAAGAUGUUAGCCAAUUGAUCUUUUGUACCUACAUACUUAAGGACAACAUCUCCUUUUUGAACAUGAUCUCUAAUGAAGUGAUGUCUUAUUUCAAUGUGUUUAGUUUAGAGUGAUGGAUGGGAUUCCUUGUGAGAUUUAUGGCACUAAUAUUAUCAUAGUUUAUGGGAAUUCUGUCGAUAGCUAGUCCAUAAUCUUUUAAUUGUUGUUUCAUCCAUAACACUUGAGCACAACAUGUCAAGCCUUACUCUAUUAUAUACUUGUCAUGUCAUUCAUGUACUUGAUAGCUUAUCUACAUACUGGGAUGCCUCGAAGAAUCGUUAAAAGUCGGUAUCGUACCUAGUGGUACAAUUAGAUCGAUUAAAAUCUCGAACUAGUUUGAAUAGAGAUUUUAGAAUGUGUUUGAGAGUUAUUGAACCUUAGAAUGUCUUAAUAUGGUGAUUCGGAGUUCGAGAAUUAAUUUGGAGUCAAAUUAGGAAUUUUCAUAACGUAGGGGCAAAAUGGUCAUUUUGCCACUCGAGUGCAAAAUGGGAAUGUUGGACGAAAUUUUUGACCAAGUUUGACUAAUUGGAGCAUGAUUUGAAUUUGAGAAAUGAAAACUUUUAAUUUCAACAUUUUUCCAAACAAAAAGUUAAAACAAUCAUUUUAGGUGUCCACGAGGACAUAAUUGGAAUUUUUGAAAUUUACACCACCAUAACACUUGUCAAGCCCAUGAAUUUUACCUAUUAUUAUUUUAUACUUUGGAUAAUUAAGAGAUUACAAGUGGUGGUGAGAAAAUGCUUAAUUGUUAAGUUUUAACCAUGGACCAAUCACAUGGUGACACAUGUCAAGCUUUAAUAUUUUUAUAAUUUCCUUUAUAAACUCAACAUAAACUCUCCCAUUUCACUCUUCAUGGCCGGCCAAAGCAAAGAACAAAGAGAAAAGAAUAUAAACAAACCCNNNNNNNNNNNNNNNNNNNNNNNNNNNNNNNNNNNNNNNNNNNNNNNNNNNNNNNNNNNNNNNNNNNNNNNNNNNNNNNNNNNNNNNNNNNNNNNNNNNNNNNNNNNNNNNNNNNNNNNNNNNNNNNNNNNNNNNNNNNNNNNNNNNNNNNNNNNNNNNNNNNNNNNNNNNNNNNNNNNNNNNNNNNNNNNNNNNNNNNNNNNNNNNNNNNNNNNNNNNNNNNNNNNNNNNNNNNNNNNNNNNNNNNNNNNNNNNNNNNNNNNNNNNNNNNNNNNNNNNNNNNNNNNNNNNNNNNNNNNNNNNNNNNNNNNNNNNNNNNNNNNNNNNNNNNNNNNNNNNNNNNNNNNNNNNNNNNNNNNNNNNNNNNNNNNNNNNNNNNNNNNNNNNNNNNNNNAAUUAAGUCACAAUCAAGCUCAUUGAGGUACUUUGGUGUAUUUGGAAUAUUGGAAGUGUAAUGAAUAUAUUUGAAGUUGAAUCGAAUGUUUUGGUUAAUUCAACAGUGUAUAGUUCAAGUUAGGUUGAAUACAAAUUCAGUCUGAUCAUAAUUGAACCCACGUAGAACACCGUCUUUAAGUGAUUAUUCGAACAAUUCUCAUUCAAUUCAUGCAUUCAUAUAGAGCCUGAAAUAGUUUUAUAACAGUUUGGCACAAAUAUAUUGAAUUACAUGUCGUGUAUUAUGUAUAGGUGGUGAGCCCUUUGAUAAGGGUAAAGAUAUCGUACCCAAGGACCAAGAAUAAGAGUACUCUAAACUCCCGCUAUUGUGAGUAAUCAAAUAUUUACCUUAACUAUCUAAAGUAGUUUAUACUCGUUUUUAUGAUUUUAAAGAAUAAUGAACUUAAACUGUAGAUUUUUUUGUUUUAUAAGUUAAGUGUUUGUUAAAUGAAUAAGAUUUAUAAAUUGUUUUGCAAUUUAAUGACGAUUUUGGAAAUUGAGUAGAUGGAGACUAUAUACUUGUGUUAUCUAUAUAUAUAUAUAUGGUUUGAAUUGAUGGCUUAUGACAAUGUGAUGGCAUGAAUGGUUGGAUUUGUGGUUUAUGGAUUAUAUAAACUGUUUUGUUUUACCUUGACAGGCUGGGUAAUAUUAUAUUAGCCAUGUCAUGUUGUUGAAAUUUUUAUUGAUUUGGUGGGUUAUUUGAUUAACUUACUGCAGUGGGCGAGUUUCCGUGGACCAGCCUAUUAGAGGGGUAUGACAAACCCCGUUAUGUUUUACCUUAGUACGAGAGGUGCGGAGGGUAUCUCCUAAGGUAAGUUUAGAGUUCACUUCACGCCGAACCACCACGUGAGGAUGAAACUCAGCCAACGCCAAGGAAUGGCUAUAUUUUAAAAGUAAAAACAUGUUUUAUGGGUAUAUGUCAUUUUCACAUCCUUGGAGGACUCGGUUGGAUGUCCGGGCCAAGGUGUCACCAAGUAUGAGUUUUGGUACAAGCCAAGUUUUUAAGAGAAUCAUAAGCCUUGUUGAUUAUUUCGAUGAAAUGUAAUUGUUUUAUAUGAAUUGAAAUGAGUUUUAAAUGUUAUGAAUGAUAUUAUUAUGGGAUGAUUUAACUGUCUCCAUUUACUCGACUUUAGAUGUUGUAGAUGAACUUUGCUUACUCACUAGGUUUGUAAAAACUCACCCUUUCUUUUACCCAUUUCAGGCUCAAGACGAUCUGUAAACAGCCGAUUUUGUCGAGGGUUGCUUUUGGAUUUGCAUCCUUAGAAAUCGAAGGUCUACAGUCUUGUAUAUUUUUUGUUAUUUGGGGGUCCCACAUGUCAUUGUAGAAUAUUUUUGUAUACCUGGUUUAGUGUGCUAUUAUAUAUAUGAAUUUAUUUUGCUGUUAUGCUACAAAAAUUGUUUAUGCAGGAUUCUAUAAAUAUUGUUUUAUAAGAAAAUGAAAUAUUUUAUUUAAUAUUUUUAUCUACUUUGAUUAGUCAUAAUUUCGUUUUAAAUGUAUGAUUUAUAUUACUAAAAUUAUUUUUAAAUAAGAGAUGUAUAUUUUUCGAUCGUUUGCUGUAUUUUCACCAGGUUUCAAAAUUUUCAAAAAAAAAAAAAAAUCAAAAUACCCCUGUGUGGCAGAAAUUACUUUUUGUUUGUUUUUGAUUUAAAAAUAGUUUAUAUUCCCUUAGAACAUAAUAUUUAGUAACUGUUGCUCACAAGGGAGACGUAAAAUUGAUGCAAGAGCCUUGCAAGGUUUCGAUUGACAUUCUGAGUAAUGAAUGUCUAUCGAGACAUCGCGGCGGUUGUCACGGGCUUUAAGAGAGUACCGGGUUGUGACAAUUCGAUUAGUAUCAGAGCCUUUGGUUUUAAAGUUAUUUUUUUAAAAAAAACUACAGUGUCAAUGUGGCCUCAAGUUAGAUUAGAUUGAGUUGAAUGCAUAUAAUUUGAUAUAGAACCUAAAGUUAUCUAAAUUCGUUUUGUCUCUUCUUAUAAAUCAUUAUGCCUCCUCGACGUGGAUGCCCACCUCUCUCUAGAUCAGUCGAGAGGGAAAGAGGCCAUUCUCAACAUCGUUAGCCAGAUCCUGUAGAGGGGGAAUCGACUAUGUCUACCUUUCGGGCAGCACCUGCUGCUGAACAGACUGAGACUCCUCCAUAUACUCCACCUUCUCCACCAC